AUAUUUAUAUCCACCGAAAAUCCCAUUUUCGGUAACUCUCCAAGAGAAAUAAAAAUCGUCAAAUUAAAAUGACAUUAAAAUAUUCUGCAACAUUAAUUGUUCAACCAUGAACUAUAGCAUGCAUUUAUAUAAAAUAAAUGUCCACUCACAAAUUAGGCCUAAGCCUGAUGUCGAUCUGGGGCCUCGUCUGCUCGAGCCUCCUCACGUCCUGUUCCAAAUAUAAUAUUAAUUUCCCAACCAAUAAUCCAAUAUUUAAUCAAAAUAGGCAAAAUUACCCGAGAGCCAUAAAUACGCUCAUCAUUGCCUAACUUCAAUAUUCUUAAAUCGGAACGAUCCGAACUUAAAUAUCAUCCUCAACAGUCGUAAAUACAACCUCCCCAAAAUACGACUUAAAUCCUACGGCCGGAUUUUACAUUAAUUAACCGCCAAAAAUACUAAACUUCGGAAAUUCACAAACCUAUCCAAAUCUCCUCCAAAAAUUCCAUAAAUCACAUCAAUAUACUCCUCUUAAUAUUCCACACUUAAUACCCUAAAAAUCUCUUAACCGGCGGCGGCGCCGCCGGCGGCUCCGCCGGCAGCGGCGGCCGGAGUCCAAUUCCGGCCACCUCCAAAACCUAUGAAAUUUUGACAGAAUAAUCUCCUCAUCAUGCUCUACAACUUUCUUAACCAGUACAUUACCCAAUUCCAAGCCUAACUAGGCUAAUCGAACGAAAACAUCCUAAAAGCCCUAGAAAAUUCAACUCCACAUUUCUCCUUACCUAGCUCAAGAGGGAGUGAGCUGAUUGGAGGGGUUGCUGCACGGGAGGAGGGCUACAAAACGAGCCAGGGAUCGCCGGUUUUGGUGGCCAGAGGAGGGAGUUCCGACGGCCGGAAGUUCGGGGCAGCCUAGCCUUUCGGGCGGCACCGCUCUCUCACGGCGGCGCUAGGGGGGCUGUCACCGGUCCUGGAAGAUAGCUGGGUCGGAGGGCAACCGAACGGGACCGGAGCGGCGGCAGAUGGUGGCCGGACGGCGGCGUACGGACGGCGAGAAGUUUCCAGCGGGGGAGAGGCUCGGGAGGAAAACGGGAAGAAGAGAGGAAGAAAAAGAAAAAGUGAGGGUUGGGUUUGGGCCUGACCAACCAGGUCCAUCACCUAUAUAACAACCCAAUUCCAAAAAUAAAACACCCCGAAAAAUAACACCCGAAUAAAAAUUACCUUUUACUAGCUAAAAUUUACCAUUUUUACCGUCGUCGAAAUUUUCUUUUACGAAUAAUCCUCCGCACAUAAUCGUCCCCGAAACCCUUCUAGGGACCAAUUAAAUUAUUAACUCAAUGACGGAGACGGUAAAAUUCUUAUUAUAAUCAGGCUAGUAAAUAAGGUAAAAAUAUAAGGGUCGGGAUGUGACAAUUCUCCCCUCCUUAUAAAAAUUUCGUCCUCGAAAUUUACAUACCUGUCAUUCGAAGAGAUAGGGAUAUUGCUGCAUCAUUUGCUCCUCCGAUUCCAAAGUAGCUUCUUUUACUUGAUGACUUCUCCAAAGCACCUUGACAAGUGGGAUUGUCUUAUUCCUAAGCACUUGCUCCUUUCGGUCGAGAAUCUGAACCGGUUCCUCUUCAUAGGUCAAAUCUCUCAUCAAACUGAUCGGCUGCUCUUGCAGCACAUGAGAAGGAUCGGCAAUAUACUUGCAAAGCAUGGAUACAUGAAACACAUUAUGUAUCCUAGCUAACUCUGGAGGCAAAAGUAGCCGGUAAGCAAGUGAGCCAACUCGCUCAAUAAUCUCAUAAGGGCCAAUAUACCUCGGACUGAGCUUCCCACGCUUACCGAAACGCACAACCCCUUUCCAAGGAGAUAAUUUCAGGAACACCUAAUCACCCACUUGAAAUUCAAGAUCUCUCCUACGGACAUCCGCAUAACUCUUCUGCCUACUUUGAGCAGUCUUGAGUCUAUCUCUAACCACUUUAAUCUUCUCAUUCGUACAUNNNNNNNNNNNNNNNNNNNNNNNNNNNNNNNNNNNNNNNNNNNNNNNNNNNNNNNNNNNNNNNNNNNNNNNNNNNNNNNNNNNNNNNNNNNNNNNNNNNNNNNNNNNNNNNNNNNNNNNNNNNNNNNNNNNNNNNNNNNNNNNNNNNNNNNNNNNNNNNNNNNNNNNNNNNNNNNNNNNNNNNNNNNNNNNNNNNNNNNNNNNNNNNNNNNNNNNNNNNNNNNNNNNNNNNNNNNNNNNNNNNNNNNNNNNNNNNNNNNNNNNNNNNNNNNNNNNNNNNNNNNNNNNNNNNNNNNNNNNNNNNNNNNNNNNNNNNNNNNNNNNNNNNNNNNNNNNNNNNNNNNNNNNNNNNNNNNNNNNNNNNNNNNNNNNNNNNNNNNNNNNNNNNNNNNNNNNNNNNNNNNNNNNNNNNNNNNNNNNNNNNNNNNNNNNNNNNNNNNNNNNNNNNNNNNNNNNNNNNNNNNNNNNNNNNNNNNNNNNNNNNNNNNNNNNNNNNNNNNNNNNNNNNNNNNNNNNNNNNNNNNNNNNNNNNNNNNNNNNNNNNNNNNNNNNNNNNNNNNNNNNNNNNNNNNNNNNNNNNNNNNNNNNNNNNNNNNNNNNNNNNNNNNNNNNNNNNNNNNNNNNNNNNNNNNNNNNNNNNNNNNNNNNNNNNNNNNNNNNNNNNNNNNNNNNNNNNNNNNNNNNNNNNNNNNNNNNNNNNNNNNNUUUUAUCCCAACUCCCUCUGAACUGCAUGGCACAAGCCCUCAACAUAUCCUCCAAAGUCUGAAUAGUCCUCUCGGACUGCCCAUCAGUCUGAGGAUGAAAAGCAGUGCUGAAGAGUAAUUGGGUACCUAAAGCUGCCUGAAGAGCUCCCCAGAAUUUAGAAGCAAAUCGAGGAUCCCGAUCUGACACUAUUGAUUCAGGAACACCAUGAAGCCUCACAAUUUCAUUCACAUAAAGCUCCGCCAAUGUAUCCAAUUUAUACUUUUUCCCACUGGCAAGAAAUGUGCAGAUUUGGUGAGUCUAUCCACAAUCACCCAAAUACCGUCAUGCCCUUCACGGGUAUGAGGUAAACUAAAAACAAAAUCCAUGUUGAUGUGGUCCCACUUCCACACUGGAAUAGGCAACGGCUCAAGCAACCCAGAAGGCUUCUGCCUUUCAGCCUUGACUUGUUGAAAAAUCAGACAUCUACUCACAUAAGCUGCAAUUUCCCUCUUCAUGUUUGGCCACCAAUAAUAAUCCUUCAAAAUCCGAUACAUUUUUGUGCUACCCGGAUGAGCAGCAUAUGCAGAGCUAUGAGCUUCCUCCAUAAUCUCACUUCAACUCUUCAUUUCUUUUUGGAACACAUAGCCGGUUCUUAAACAAUAGAGUCCCAUCUCUUCUAACUGAAAAAAAGAUCGGCUGCGGCUCCAUUCGAAGCUCUUUCCAUCAAUCGAACUAUGGAAGGAUCAUUAUACUGUGCUUCCCGCACUCUAUCAACCAAAACUGGCCUCACAUGAAAACUGGCUAUCAAAGCACCUACCUCAUCCACUGAUAAAUCCACUCCUGUAGCUCGCAACUCACAAAGAAGCGGAACAUGAACCAUCUUUAUAUGAGAUAAAGAUAUGGAGGGAUUUCGAUUAAGAGCAUCAGCUACCACAUUAGUUUUUCCAAGAUGAUACUCAAUAGUGCAAUCAUAAUCAUUGAUUAACUCCAUCCACCUUCUUUGUCUCAUAUUAAGCUCUCUUUGAGUGAACACAUACCGAAGACUCUUGUGAUCGGUAAAUAUCUGACACUUGGCUCCAUAAAGAUAGUGUCUCCACAACUUGAGAGCAAAAACUACCGCUGCAAGCUCCAGAUCAUGAGUAGGAUAAUUCCCCUCAUGCGGCUUCAAUUGCCUAGAAGCGUAGGCAAUUACUCGAUCAUGCUGCAUCAAAACUCCACCUAGACCACGUCUAUAAGCAUCACAAAAAACCACAUACUCUCCACUAUCAUCCGGAAGUGCCAAAACAGGAGCACUUGUUAAGCAAUUCUUCAAUUCUUGGAAACUUUGCUCACAUUGAUCUGACCAUUCAAACUUAACCCCCUUCCUGGUCAAUCUUGUGAGAGGAGCAGCAAUAUAUGAAAAAUCUUUCACAAAGCGCCGAUAAUAACCUGCUAAUCCCAAAAAACUACGAAUCUCCGUCACAGUGGUGGGUCUUCUCCAAUUCGACACUGCUUCCACCUUUUGGGGAUCCACACUAACUCCUUCUGCGGAAAUCACAUGACCCAAGAAUCCCACUUUAUCUAGCCAAAACUCACACUUGCUAAACUUAGCAAAUAACUGCGACUUUUCCAAAGUCCGCAAUAUUAUUCUUAGAUGCUUGGCAUGCUCCUUCUCACUUCUUGAGUAAACCAAUAUGUCAUCUAUGAAUACGAUCACGAAACGAUUAAGGUAUGGACUAAACACCCUAUUCAUGAGAUCCGUGAACGCCGCGGGUGCAUUAAUAAGUCCAAAUGGCAUCACGACAAACUCAUAAUGACCAUAUCGUGACCGAAAAGCAGUCUUGGCUAUGUCCCCCUCUCGGAUCCGCAACUGAUGAUAACCCGAUCUCAAAUCAAUCUUAGAGAAAACAGAGGCACCCCUCAACUGAUCAAACAAAUCAUCGAUCCGAGGCAACGGAUAUAUAUUCUUCACUGUGACCUGAUUCAACUUCCUAUAAUCAAUGCAUAGUCUCAUGGUGCCCUCUUUCUUCUUAUCAAACAACACCGGAGCACCCCAUGGAGACAUGCUAGGCCGAAUAAAACCCUUAUCUACCAACUCCUGCAAUUGAGUCUUCAACUCUUUCAAUUCCGCUGGAGCCAUUCUGUAAGGCGCCUGAGAGAUAGGCAUAGUUCCGGGAAGUAAUUCUAUAGAGAAGUCUAUCUCCCUUGCAGGAGGCAAACCAGGCAACUCCUCAGGAAAAACAUUCGGAAACUCUCCUACUUCUGGAAUAUCUUCUAAUCCCACAACUCCCAUACUUGUAUCCACCACAUGAGCUAAAAAUGCCUGACAGCCUUUACUCAACAAUUUCCUUGCAGCAACAGCGGAAAUUAUGCAACUAGAAAUAACAUCUCUUUCCCCUUGGAAAGCAACCUCAAAACCAUCUCGACUUCGAAGCACCACUACUUUUUGAAAACAAUCUACCAUAGCUCUAUAUGCUUCCAAAAAGUCCAUUCCCAAGAUCACAUCAAACUCCACUAUAUCUAAAGGAAUUAAAUCAGCCUCGAAAUUAACUCCUUCCACUAAAACUUCACAGCCACUAAAUACCCAAUUUAUUCUCAUCACCUCACCGGAGGGUAGAGACACAUGCCACUCGCCUGGAAGAGACGAUGAUGGUACAUUGGCAUGGAGGGCAAAUCUACUAGACAUGAAUGAAUGCGUGGCUCCGGGAUCAAUUAAAGUAAAACCAGGCUGACCAAAAAUUAAUAACGUACCAAUGAUGACAUCUGGAGAAGUACGACCCUCCUGCUGGGUCAUAGCAUGCAGUCUAGCGUGAGUCAUGGGACGUCCACGCUGACCACUUCCCCGCUGAGAGCCACCUCUAACCGAAACACUGCCCUGGGCACCACUACUAGAGCCUCCAGCUGAAGACUGACCAACUGGCUGAGUAGGGGUGGGAGUGGUCCUCUGAGCCAACAAUGGGCAAUCUCUCCUGAAGUGGUCCUGACCACCACACUCAAAGCACCCAGAAAACUGCUGCUGCUACCCAUAUGAAAAAGUCUGGCUACCGGAUGACCCACCAUGGAAACUGCCACCCGAACCAUACUGCCCAGACUGCUGCCUACCCAACUUACUCCUAGUAGGUCUCCUGUGACGUCCUCUAACCCUGAACCGAGAAUUAGAACCUGAUCCCCCACUACUGCCACUACCAGCUGAUGAACCUGAAGCGGAUGAUGAAGCAGCUUUCUUGGAUGGACCCUGACUGGGGCCACCGAAAUCUCAUGGCCGAGCACUAUAAAUCCCCAUAGACUCAAUGGCCAUGGCUGCAUGAACAGCGUCAGAGAAAGUCGGGUAAUAAACACCCGUCAUUUUAUCUGCAAACACUCCACCAAGUGCCCCAAUGAACAUCUUCAUCCUGGUCCUCUCAUCAGGAACCAGAUAUGACACAUGAUAGCUCAGGGAAGUGAAUCUCUCCUGGAACUCUAUAACACCCUCAUCAUCCCUCUUCUUCAUAUUCAGGAAAUCCGACUGAAUUCUGCUGCGGUGGGCAGGACUGAAAUAUUGCCCCAAGAAAAGCGUCUUAAACUGCUCCCACGACAUAUUCAGAGCAUCCUCAACAUUCCUGCUAGCGAGCGACCACUAGUGAUGUCGCUGAAUCAUCCAGGAAAGUCACUGCCAUCUUCUUCAUAUUCAGGAAAUCCGACUGAAUUCUGCUGCGGUGGGCAGGACUGAAAUACUGUCCCAAGAAAAGCGUCUUAAACUGCUCCCACGACAUAUUCAGAGCAUCCUCAACAUUCCUGCUAGCGAGCGACCACUAGUGAUGUGCUGAAUCAUCCAGGAAAGUCACUGCCAUCUUCACCUUCCUUUCUUCUGGCAAAUCUGUGCUCGCAAAAGCCUUUUUCAUUUUGUCCACCCAAGUAUAAGCAUCAAGGGGUCCCAUGGCACCCUUGAACUCUCUUGCUCCAGCCUCAUAAACUUCUCUCCUCUUCACUGCAUGAGGGUGUGGAGCUCGAUCUAUGACAUCCCUCAGCAUAUUUCCAAUAUCAUCAACCAGUCCCCUGACCUCAUUGCCCUCAUCGGCAUUGGUCGAAGUAGCCACACGGGGUUGCCGUGGGCGCCUAGGAGGCAUAGUACCUGAGGAAGAAGAAAUUUAGUAGUCCAUAAACAAGACUAACACAACAAUCACAUAUACCCAAUAACACAUAGCAUCAAAAGCAUAAAAUGCCAAUGAAUCCGCCGCGGUCGGAUCAUCACUCUAUAGACACUACGUGCUACUUAGGCAAAUAUGAUAGUGACAAGGAAGCCGGAAAAGGAAACCUAUAGCUCUGAUACCAACUGACACGACCCACCCCGAAUUUCACCCUGAAACCCGGAGUAAGUCUUGCGGGGACCACCUCCAAGAAAAAUUUACUGAAAAGAUUAAGAAAAUCUCCCUUGUAGAUGGACAACCCUAACUCGAAAAUUCCAAAUUGCCUAACUUCGAUAUUCUUAAAUCGGAACGAUCCGAACUUAAAUAUCAUACUUAACAGUCGUAAAUACAACCUCCCCAAAAUACGACUUAAAUCCUACGGCCGGAUUCUACAUUAAUUAACCGCCAAAAAUACCAAACUUCGGAAAUUCACAAACCUAUCCAAAUCUCAUCCAAAAAUUCCAUAAAUCACAUCAAUAUACUCCUCUUAAUAUUCCACACUUAAUACCCUAAAAAUCUCUUAACCGGCGGCGGCGCCGCCAGCGGCUCCGCGGGCAACGGCGGCCGGAGGCCAAUUCCGGCGACCUCCAAAACCUAUGAAAUUUUGACAGAAUAAUCUCCUCAUCAUGCUCUACAACUUUCUUAACGAGCACAUUACCCAAUUCCAAGCCUAACUAGGCUAAUCGAACGAAGACAUCCUAAAAGCCCUAGAAAAUUCAACUCCACAUUUCUCCUUACUUAGCUCAAGAGGGAGUGAGCUGAUUGGAGGGGUUGCUGCACGGGAGGAGGGCUACAAAAACGAGCCAAGGAUCGCUGGUUUUGGUGGCCGGGGGAGGGAGUUCCGACGGCCGGAAGUUCGGGGCAGCCUUGCCUUUCGGGCGGCACCGCUCUCUCACGGCGGCGCUAGGGUGGCUGUCACCGGUCCUGGAAGAUAGCUGGGUCGAAGGGCAACCGAACGGGACCGGAGCGGCGGCAGAUGGUGGCCGGACGGCGGCGUACGGACGGCGAGAAGUUUCCGACGGAGGAGAGGCUCGGGAGGAAACCGGGAAGAAGAGAGGAAGAAAAAGAAACAGUGAGGGCUGGGUUUGGGCCUGACCAACCCGGUCCAUCACCUAUAUAACAACCCAAUUCCAAAAAUAAAACACCCCGAAAAAUAACACCCGAAUAAAAAUUACCUUUUACUAGCUAAAAUUUACCAUUUUUACCGUCGUCGAAAUUUUCUCUUACGAAUAAUCCUCCGCACAUAAACGUCCCCGAAACCCUUCUAGGGACCAAUUAAACUAUUAACUCAAUGACGGAGACGGUAAAAUUCUUAUUAUAAUCAGGCUAGUAAAUAAGGUAAAAAUAUAAGGGUCGGGAUGUGACACUUGUUGAGUUAUUAGUCAUGUGGAUUGCUUACCACCUUAAUUGACUACAUAUUGUCGAUGAACUUUUAUGGCAUCAUGAUCCAUAAUUUUUAGCGGAUUCGAUCAUCAUCAAGUUCUCUAGGUCCUCCAAGUUGGUUUGGAAUUACCAACGGGACUUGAUUUUUAUCAUACAAUUGCAAACAGGAAUUGUAUAUACGCUAAUGUGAUAAACAUAUUUGACAUUAUCCCCUAAUAUGGGGACAACAAUAUGGGUCAUGUCAACGGCAUAAAAUGCCAUGCCGAUGUCUAGAAAAGAGGGGGAGGUGUCGCCGGCCCUAAUGGCGACACUCCCGGUCUAGACAUCAAUCUGUCAAAACUACUCACGUCCGCUUAUGACAAUGCAACCAUUGUGGAUCUCCGGAUCGUUGGUUGAAGAGUUAUCGAGCUAUCCUUCAAAUUGUUAAUGCAUACAAAAGGGUACAGAAAAUCAAUAUGAGGAGAAGAACGUCAUCCUCAUGAUCGCGGAUUUCAAAGAUUCGGAUCCUGCUCUAGCUACCCAUGACUUUGACGUCAUUGGCUAGACAUUGAUUUUCUUUCCAAGCUAUAUGUAAUACAGCGUCGUAUCGACGUCCUUCGUCUAUUUGAGACCUCGAUGUACUCACAUUAGCAAUAAUGAAUGCCUUGAGAAUUUUUUUUUCGAAGUGAAACUAUUCUCCUCUUAUGGUUCGUAUUGAUUUACAAAAAAUAUAUACAUUCUUACAUCGUCCUUAGAAACAUGGCAUAUUGUGCCAUUUUGGUCCCUUCCUUUGAAGGUGACUCAUGGCACCGCAUCCUCAAGGAGGAUCGCCCACGUGUUUCCGGUUGAGUCUUCUACCCUAUAGCGGAUUUUCCAUCAUCAAUUGUUCAACUAGGCUCAUCUAAGUUCAGUGUGAUGUCUUAGAAUUGUCCGAAAUUAAGAAGAUAGUGGUUUAAGUGUGCCUCGCACUACCGACCCUCUACGGACAAGCCUGGUCAUACUGAUUUGGAGUUACCGAAAGCUUUUGAUUUUGGAUCCCCGUACGCUAUUAAACCAAUUGUCGUCUUGCAAAAGAUGUUGAAGACUUAUCAAAACCGGACAAUCAUCAUCAUGAUCGAAUCCUCUAGGUCUUCUGAGUUAGUUUAUGUUCAUGUCAAGGAGCUUUUGCUAACUAGUCAUGGAGUUUACGACCUUGGAACGACUGAAAGGACUUGAUUUUGAUCAUGCACACAUCACUUUUGGCUAAGGCAAAAGCCUACAUGCAACCUGCAAGCUUCACAGCUUCGCACAUGCCAAUUCUGCGAAAAACAGCAAUCUGUCUCUUCUAGACAGUCAACUUCGUUUGAGCUUUGUGAACAGCUCUGGACGAACUAGAUAGUGAGCUUUAUAUCAUUGGAAAGCUCUACGAGUCUAGUUUUCAGAACCUUUCGCGGUUCAUCCAUAUCUAUUUUAACAAAGAAGUUAUGGCUGUUUUAGUGCGCAAAAGUCAUUCCGCACGGAAAUUUUAAUGCACUCUCAGGAUUGCAGCUUUUUGUAGCUUCUUUCAAUCCUUCUAAAUGGUUCAAGUGGAACUAUUUACUCUCCUAUCUACUCCAUUUUGUACAUCUGUCUCAUAGAGACAUUAAGUGCUUCGCAAACAGUGGAACUAUUCACAACAUUCUAAGGAACCGGCAACUAUCUUUGGAUAUUAUGCCUUUGUAAAUCUUCUGUAUUGAGAGACACGGUUUAGCUUGAAUUUUGAUGCCUCAUGGCACCAUGAUCAACGUCACAGAUGCCCUCUAUGCAUUGAGAGGCAACCGAACCAUGUUGAGCUUUAAAGACAUUCUUGCUAAUAGUUUUUAUUUGAAAACACAUUAUGAGAAUGAACAAGAAUUCUUUUGUGUAUACAUUCUCAUGAAUGUGGACUGAAAUGCAUCUUGGAGAAGUUCAUGAGUCAAUUUAAUGGAUUGUAUGUCACUACGAUUCGAGUAUCGAAUCCCAUGUUGUCGCCAAACAUGAUAUUUGGGACACCGACUCAUAGAGGCUUUGGUUUGACCAAAUCGGUCAACCUCGAAGAGAUAUAAUGGUCCAAAUUUUGAGAAACAUCCAUUCUUCUGCUCAAAACGAAGACAUUCGGGAUCUAACAUCACCAUGAAGCAUGGUGGUGACCCAGGGGACAUUUGUAACACCCCGGACCAAAUUCUACCUAUUUACUAGGUAUUCUACGAGUUACUGAAGAAUUUAACUGUGUUCGGUAAUUUGGUAAUUUAACACUCGAGUUUAUUGUUGAGUUUUUCUUAAAAUGUUAAAUUCCUCUUUUAAGGCCUCGAUAUAGUAGUACGUGUCGACACAGGUUCAACAGUGGCAUUGGAUUAUUUGUUGGAGCUUCGAGUUAUUUUUUCUAUUAUUUAUUAGAGGUUUGGUUUUAGAAAUUUAUUUUCUCGGAAGAAAAUAACUUUUAUCCGGGCUUCCAUUAGGGUUUUGAUAUGAGUUGUAGAAUUUAAGCUUAAAAGGUAAAGAGGAGGUUGACCCAGUCAAAGAACCCAACUCGGGUUUGACCGAGCCCAACAGAGUCUCCUCCUUCUCUCUCACUUCUCUCUCGUCGUUCGCCUUCUCCGGCGCAAUGGCGACGAUUCCGAGCACCUCCCACAGCGUAACUACCACCAAAAUAUUCUUCUCUUCAAUCUCUACAAAACCCAUACCUCAGUUCACACAGGCAUCCACAUACGAGGGAGAUCGAUGUCGAAGAGGCACGGCUGUGUUUCUCGUUUUCCGGCGAGCUCCGACGGCGACGGCGAUAGUGAGGGGUAGGAUUCUUCUCCUUUUUCCUUCUUCUCCCUUCCUAUGUCUUUAAUCUUUUGAUUCGUGCCCUAAUCAGAGGAACCCUUUUCUCCUGUUUUUGGGUUUUCACGGCGUAUCUCCGGCGACCGAGUUCUUGCCGUUUCCGACCUCUUCUCCAUGUUCCGACAAGCAAGGCUACUUCUUGGCAGACCCAGUGGCCGAGUGGAGGAGGUGGUUGGAGUUUGGUAGCAGAUGGGGUUCUUCUGGUUGGGACAGUGAGAGGCAGAGGGCUGCAGGUCGGUCUCCGGCAAGGAGAAGUUUCUGGGUUGGGGUUUUGAGCGGACUGAAGGUAAAGGUUAAAAAUCUGAGCUGCUGUGUUGUUGCUAUGUUGUGCUUAUUGUGUUGUUUAGGUGUUGAUUCGGCUGUUUCCUUUGUGAUAUGUCGAGAACUUGGUGUUUUGAAGAACACGGGGAGGUUAUGGCCAUUUUCUGGUGAGUGGCCGGAAUCCGGUAGAAUAUUCCGGCAAGUCGCCGGAAUCCGACGAAGGCAGUAAUUUUGGAAGAAGGUGAUGAGGUAGUUAUCGACGUUUUUCCUUUCUGAUUUGUAUCGUUUCAGAAAUGGAAAGUUUGUCGGUUUGUAAUCGGAAAUCUUUCUAAGGGAGGAAAGUUUCUAUUUUAGGAAACUUUCCCUUUUUUGGAAGCUUCCUAUUUAUGGAAACCCAUUUGGGUGCCCUUAGUAAAUUUUGGAAGUAAAUUGGUUGUUGUAUUAAAGGCAUGGAAAUUGAUUAUGACUUCGAUUCCAAGUUAAGGUUUUGUUUAGAGGCAACGUUCGAGGAGUAUUCCAAGCAUUAUAUUGAGAAGUUUAAGCCUAACACUGUGAGUGGACAUUUUGGUUUUUCUUAAAUAUGCGUGCAUGACUUUAUAAAUUAUGAUUUUAUUUUCCGAGCAUAUAUUAUAACUUCGGCUUACUAAAUGAUCUUGGAAAUUAUUUUAAGUUUGAUGCAUGGAUUAAUUGUGCACCAUGAUUUAUGGAUUUGAGCUCGGAUCAUUAAUUUGGUACUUGAGUUUGGAUAUCAUUUAUGAUUUCCGGAUUUAAUUAUUAUCGGCUUUAUUGUUGACUUUGAGAUUUAUUAAAGACUACCGAAACUGGGAUUUUCAGUAAUUCUCUUUUUAUAACUUUCUCGGUUAUUUGUGGUUUAUCGACCUUGACAUUGAGAAUAUUUUGACGUGUGAGACACGUCAUUGAGUAUUGUUACAUUGCUUGGUUGAGUGGGCCGGGAUACUUAUCUCGUGAGCUUUAUCUAGUGGGCCGGGAUACCUUUCUCGUGAGCUCUAUCUAGUGGGCCGGGAUAUUUAUCUUGUGAGCUCUAUAUGAUCUUCUUAUUUCAUUAUAUAAGGGUUGUUGUAUAUUAUUAUUGCUAGCUAGCCUUUAGCGUGGGACGUUAUUAAUAGAGUCUGGGAGGCUCCGACCCUAGCCUGGGAGGCUCAUCUUUAUGGUGAAACCCCUUUCUAGUUUCUUGGAUUUAUUCGAACCAACGGGAUUGGUUCGUCAUUUGUACUCUUUUAGAAGUAUUAUGAGUGAGCAUCAAGUGUUGCAUGCAUAGUUGUAUUUUCGUUGAUCAAAUCGGGAAAACAUAAAUAUUUUUAUUGGUUUAUUUCCUUUAAAUUUAUUCUUGUCCACUCACUCUAACGUUUUCGAAUGUUUUCCCCUAGGCCCUUCGGUUUUAAAUGCCCAGUUUGCAAGUUAGUAUAAUUGAGGUCGGGCGUACUUGGAGUCGAGGCAUAGUCCAUCGUAUAGCUUAAGCUUAAAUAUAUAUUUAUCUCCCCUUCACUGUUAGAAUUGCUCUGAACCUAUUAAUUGUUGGUUAUGGGAUUUUUGUUAGAUUAGUAAAUAUAAAUUUUUUAGAUGUUGUGAUUUGUGGGGAGCACGGAGGCUUCAGGAGUUUAUAAGAUUGAAGUUGAAAUUUUUAGAAGUGUUUGCAGGUAUUUUUAUUUAGGAAGGGUUGCCUAUUUUCAAGGGAGGUUAUGCCGAGUUUUCGGUAAAUUUUCCUUGGAGGUGGACCCCGUAGGAUUUACUUCUGGUUUCAGAGUGAAAUUCGGGGUGGGUCCUGACAACAUUGACGUCACCCGAACACGGCUCCAACUUCCCGAAGGCCGUCCGGUCAAUUCCUCAAGCAAUUGAGGUGCACCGGCCUUCCCUCUAUGUCUCAUUGGCCCCUGUAAUGCUCAUUGCUCGUUUUGAAAGCCUAUUUUUAACUAAAUUAGGAGUGAGACUCUCCUAUGCUAAAUUACACAAAGUGAACAUUCCAUUCUUACAUCAACCUAUGUUGAUAGAUACAACCAACUUGCGAACACCUUUUUUUAUGCUUUAUGGUGUUGGUUGAAGUGUUAACACACUGGUCACGUGUUACACUAUUAUCUACUGCUUAUGCUGCUUAUACUUCUACGGGCUCACUACCCAUUCUUUAAAAAAGUUUAUCGGGAUGUCAGUUGAAGUGUCUUGUACCCCAUGUUCACACGCAAUACGGUCUCACCGAGGCUACGACCAAGCAACUUUAGCUUGUCGCUCGAACAUUAUUGAUGCACACCAAUCUUUUUAUUGCGUCUUGGGGCUAUGCAAUAUUUGCAUGCAGCUUUACUAUUCAUCUACGACCCACCAUCAUUGAAUAUUUUUGUACUACAGCUCGUGACUGUCACUACCAGGACAAGCACUUUAGCCGACGAAAAAGUUUCAUCGGCCAGUUAGCUUAAUUCGUCGGCUAAGAUCUUACCCGACGAGCCUUCGUCGGCUAUAGUUUCGUCGGGAAAGAGGCGUCGGUGAUGACUUUAGCCGACGAAAUUAGAAAACGUCGUCGGCUAUUGUCCCAGUAUUUAGCCGACGACAGAAGACGUCGUUGACCAUAGUCUGAGACUUUAGCGAACGAAACAUUUAAGAUAUUCGUCGGCUAAAGUAUGUAAUAAAAAAUUAAAAAAUAACUAUAGCCGACGAAAUAUAGUCUGUUUCGUCGGCUUUAGAAGUGUUUAGCCGACGAAACAUGCCAUAAUUUGUCGGCUAAACCUUAUAAAAAAAUUAAAAAAUACUAUAGCCGAAUAUAGUCGGCUAAAGUAUUUAAAUAUCGUCGGCUAAAGUAUUUAAAUAUCGUCGGCUAAAGUAUUUAAAUAUCGUCGGCUAAAGUUGCUGGUUUUUGAAAAAAAAAACUGUAGAAACUUUCGGCCACCUCCAAUCAUCACCAAAAUUUGACAAAAUCUUCCUCUCAACAUUUCGAACAACUUUCUAGAAGAAGUCAAACCCAAUUCUAAGCCUAAACAGGUCAAUUGAAUCAAAAUAUAAAAAUCCCUAAUUUUAAACCCUAAAAACUUUAAAUCUUCGAUUCUCUUCACACACACCGAAUCGAGCUACCAAAUUCUAGGGGAAUGUAGUACUAAUCAAACUCAACUUAUCCAUAUAUAGAACUCACCAAAUGGUGACCUAAGGAAGGAGAAAUUCGAUCGACACCGAAUCCAAACCGGCGGAGUUUUAGAGCUCGAUUUAUCCCUCACGGCGGCGCCACUCAAUGCACCACCUGUCCAGCAAUGAAGUAGAGAUGACGGCGAAGUUUUUAGGACAAGUGUGGCGGUCUCCGGUGGCUUGACGGCGGAGCUAGGCCGAGAAGAAAAUCCGGCAGGCGAAACAAUAACUUUUUCUGAUUUUCUGACUUCUUACCAUCCACCUCUGGUAAAACUCCUAUAUAAAGAACUUUACCCGACGAAAUUCUUUAUUUUCAUCGGCUAAACUCUUUUGAAAAUUUUGAUUGACCGCAAAAAUUUUUUUGACAAUAGCCGACGAAAUCAUAUAUUUUCGUCGGCUAGAGUCCUUUGAAAAUUUUCCUCCAAAUUUGGUUUACCACCAAAAAAAUUUUGACCUUAGCCGACGACUUUUUUAAGAUCUCGUCAGCUAAAGUCUAUAAAUUCACGAAAACGCUCAUAUCUCCCUCUAUAGUAAGUAGUUUGGUCAAACCUUCCACACGAAAAACUUUCACGUAGAUGAGACGCAACCGCCUAUAUAAAAAUUUGAGACAUUUACCUUCCGACGAUAGGGCUCCCCAUAGGGAAUAAUAACGGUAAAUAGGGUUGACCGCUACUAUCGGUACCGAGACGUUACCUGAUUUACAUGAUUUUUGAACCAUAGCCGUAUUUCACCAUUCUAAACACAUCUUAUUUCACGAGAUUUUUGAUAAUUUUGCUUCCUAUGUAGAGUUGGUUCACAAAGUUGUAUUACCUACUAAACAAGUUAUACAACAUUCGUAGACACGUUGUGAUUACGAUGAUUAAAAUUCACAAACCAAAAUUCGACCAUCAGAUAUGAUCAUUAUGAUAAAAGAUGUCUGGAAUUCAACUGGAUCCGACAACGUUAAGGGCUCGAUCGAAACGGUCAACCCUAAUCCAUCGUCACUUAUCACACAAAAACGCUCAUAUCUCCCUCUAUAUUACAUAGUUUGGUCAAACCUUCCACAUGAAAAACUCUCACGUAGAUGAGACGCAACUGACCAUAUAAAAAUUUUGAGACAUUUACCUUCCGACGAUAGGGCUCCCCAUAGGGAAUAAUAACGGUAAAUAGAGUUGAUCGCUACUAUCGGCACCGUGACGUUACCCGGUUUACGUGAUUUUUGAACCAUAGCCGUGUUUCACCAUUCCAAACAUGUCUUAUUUUUACAAAAUUUUUGAUAAUUUUGCUUCCUAUGUAGAGUUGGUUCACAAAAUAUAAAAAUUUUGAGACAUUUACCUUCCGACGAUAGGGCUCCCCAUAGGGAAUAAUAACGGUAAAUAGAGUUGACCGCUACUAUCGGCACCGAGACGUUACCCGGUUUACAUGAUUUUUGAACCAUAGCCGUAUUUCACCAUUCUAAACACGUCUUAUUUUCACAAGAUUUUUGAUAAUUUUGCUUCCUAUGUAGAGUUGGUUCACAAAGUUGUAUAACCUACUAAACAAGUUAUACAACAUUAGUAGACACGUUGUGAUUCUGAUGACUAAAAUUCACAAACCAAAACUCGACCGUCAGAUAUGAUCAUUAUGAUGAAAGAUGUCUAUGGUAAAAAAUUCAACUGGAUUCGACAACGUUAAGGGCUCGAUCGAAACGGUCAACUCUAAUCGGAAAUAAGAAAACUGCAUUUUGAAGCCCUAAAUAGACUUGGAUGGCCAAAAAGGCCCAUAUUUCAUGGCAUAGCAAUGAGUUUGACUCGUAGGGCCGUUACGCUUCCGGAAAGGUAUCAUAAUAGUCAAUCGGACACUGAACGCCAAAUCUGCAGCAUACCGGGUUUCGAUUGUUCUACAUCAGAGACGUUACCCGAUUUACGUGACUUUUGAACCAUAGUCGUGUUUCACCAUUCUGAACACAUCUUAUUUCAUGAGAUUUUUGUUAAUUUUGCUUCUAUGUAGAGUUGGUUCACAAAGUUGUGUAUUUGUUUAAAACCUACUAAGCAAGUUAUACAACAUUUUAUUGUUUUUCUUUUAGCAGACGGAUAAUAGCCAACGAGAUUUUUUUUCGCCUACUAAAAUACUUUAGCCGACGAGUAAAAACUUUGGCCGACGAAAAAAAAUUUUGUCGGCUAAAGUAUAGUAUAGCAGACGAAAUUUUUUUUCCGUCGCACUAGGAAGAAAACAAACUUAGCAUAACCUGAUCCAUUGAUCAGUGAUACUCAAAUCUGUCUCAUGAAGUCUGAAUUGUGAUUAUCGUUGGGGGACACCUCAAUGUCAAAUCCAAUCCAUAUAGAGAUCUAUACAAGUAUUACACUAGUGUACAUGAGGACGCGGGAUAAUGAGUCUACUAUCGAACCACCCUUCGUUGAUUGGCCAAAUGGAAAGAUGCGAUCCAGCAUUAACAAAGAGAUAGGUCCUUGGGCAGGUGAUGCCGACACCGCAAGUUAAACCCUAUCAACUAUGCCUUUGUUAGAUAGCGUAGUGAGAACAAGAGCUUAGACUCACCUUAUGGCGCAAGGUCUCUCACUAACAAGCACUGAGAUCGACUACGAUGAGAUAUGCUCUCGUAAUGGAUGUCAUUGCACUCCACUACUUUGUCAGUUUGGUAGUUUUCCGAAUAACUGAACAUGCAGCCUAUGAAUGUGGUCAUAAUAACAUCUCUACAGGAUCAGAGAUAUACAUGAAGAUCUUAAACAGACUUCAUUCAUCUUAAUCAAGUUGCUCCAGACCACAGGAGCACGCGUUCGCUAAAGGUUUUGAAACGCACAUUAAGUAACUAAUUUGCGUGUUCAUUCUGGAUUUACAUGGACUCUUGAUGGAUCAAGAGAUGCCAAUAUGUAUCAACAUUUUAAGAAAAAGAUCUUGAGAAGACACAGUCUCGACAAGGCACUCGAUGAUUGUAUUGAUGAUGAUUUUCCAUCAAUCGGCUUAGGCGCUCUAUAACUAGUGAGGCCUACAUAUACUCCCAUGAUUAGUCAAAGUCUUUGCUUUAAAGAGAGAUCCGUUUUUUUGUCUAAAGCAAGAUGACAAAUAUGUGUUAAGAGAUGGAGUUCCCAUCUAAGUACAAUAAGAUGCAUCAAUGUACUCAACACAAUACGAAACACUUGACAUCUCAUUCGUUAUGAAAAGUUGUAAAGCUAAGUGUAGCUAUGCGCCCACGUAACGCCAAUGUAAUGGCAGUAACUCUUUUUUUAAAUAGUUAAUGGUAUGAAAGGUUGAGGCUUAUUCUAUCCCUACAUAAGAAAGACACAUCAAUAGCGAAAUUAGAAUCUGCCAAGUUUCGUAGGUCAAUUUCUACGGGACCUACAGGAAAUUUCACUCACUGGAAAAUGGUGAAAUUGGUGCCACUGGAAAGCUCUAUGUGUCUACUUUCCAGGGACACCAACCAUUUAAUCAUAUCUAUCAUAUUGAGUGAGUUAUGGCUUUUUUCGUAAAGUAGGACGAAUCUGUCCGAGAAUCUGAUUUUGGCAAAACAGUUAAAUUUGACAGGACUUUGUGAAUAGCUCCUGACGAACCAGAACAUGUGUAAUAUACAGUUGGAAAGCUAAAUGAGUCUAGUUUCCAAAACCGUUUACGGUUCAUUCAUAUGUAUUUCCUAGAGGAAGUUACGGCUGUUCUAGUAACUGAAGGUCAUGCUGUGCGGAAAUCUGAUUUCCUGCACGAACUUAUGUUUUGAGUUCACAAGCGGUCUUCUCCUCAAGAUCUAAAUGUAAAAGAUCAUGUUUGAGGACAAUACGGCAUGAUCUAGUUAAUCAUUGCCCAAUGCCACAUUUGAAGACAUGUUAAAGAGCAUUGACAUGCGAAGUUAUUGAAGUUUCCGUGAUUAGUAAGAAUCAGGAAGAGCCCUAUGAUUGAUGUAAGGGAAAAUUUCAAAAACAGUACACCAAUUAUGGUCCACUCUAAAGACUAGUACAUUAUCUUUUGAGAAAAUCAAAACAGUACAUGAAGUUGUAAUUAUGACCCAAAAUCGAUACAUGCCGUUAUUUUUUCUGUUAUUUGGUGUCUCUACCAUUAAACUUCAAAGGAUAAAUUCGUCCUUCUCUUGCUUCCUCCUUCUAUCUCUGAAACUAGAAAAAGCUGCAGCAAUUUUGCAAACUCUUUUAAAUAUAAAACAGAUGAGCAUGAACCAAAAAAAACCCAAAAUCCCAAAACCCUGUAUGGUUCAUUGGUUCUUCUACCAAGGGUUUUAAUCUCCAAUUUAUUUAUGAAACCCAUUGCUUCCUAGUGAGCCCAACCGCUGUCCUCUCACCAGAAUCAUCGUCUUAAAUGAAAAAAGUUAAAAAAAAAAAAAAAAAAGUAGAUUCCUCCUGCAAUUAUGAAUGGGUAUUGCAUGUUCUUCUAUUUGUUCAUAUCUGGGUAAUAUUGUUGCUUUUUUUUGUUGUUGCUAUGGUAUGGUAGGAUUGUCAAACUUCAAGAAUUUGUGAAGAACAUUUCAAACCCGUCACCAUGCGAACUGAAUUUCCAACCCCAAAAUCAAUAGAAAAAACCCAAACUCAUCUAUUUUAUAUUUAAAAAAGUUUGCAAAGUUGCUGUAGUUUUUUCUUGUUACAAAGAUAUAUAGAAGGAGGAAGCAAGAGAAGGACGAAUUUAUCCUUUGAAGUUUAACGGUAGAGACACCAAAUAACAGAAAAAAUAACGGCAUGUAUCGAUUUUGGGUCAUAAUUACAAUUUCAUGUACUGUUUUGAUUUUCUUGAAAGAUAAUGUACUAAUCUUUAGAGUGGACCAUAAUUGGUGUACUGUUUUUGCAAUUUUCCCUUGAUGUAAAGAUCAGGGGGAGGUGCGAACUUCAGGGGGAGUCUAGCACAUACAUACAUGUCACUAUCAAAUGUGAAGGGUGCGUUGUACUCUUUUUCUCCUACGAUUAAGGUUCAGUUUUUCUCCCACAGGGUUUUUGUGACUUGACGAGGUUUUUGACGAGGCAAAAAAUCAGCACCAUCGGCAUAUCAGCGCGCGGCACAAGGGAGAGUGUUCUAGGAUAUUCUGUAUCUUUCUAGAUAUUCUUUAUGUGUGCCUUGGCCUUAUGCCAAUAGGAUAUGUAGUUUGACUAAAUCUAUGUAUUCCUAUCCUUACCAUAUUGGUAUUGUGUAAUUCCUUAUAUAAAGGGCUCCUAUCUUUGAAUAAUACACACAUCUUUCACAAUUCUCUAUUCUCAAAUAUCUCUCACUUCAUCAAAUUAGUAAUUAAUGGUUAUUUGAAUUAUGAGACUAGAGUUAGAAUAAAAAUUAUGAUACUCAUCCUAAUUUAAAGAUAUUGAGGAAAAAGAUGCAGGAAAUGGCCUCAACUUGAAAAGUUAAAACUUAGAAGUAUAUACCUAUCUUCUCAUCAGGAAUGGAGGUAGAAAAUCCCUUUAAGAUUGGUUUAUAUUAGUAAGGAUGUCUAACACAACAUCACACACUAAAUUCAUAAACAAGAGAACCCUGACAAGCAACGAAUUGACAAACACAAUAUAGUAUGCAGGUCUUCAAAUUACAAAGCAAACCAAACUAUCUAACUAGUUGUGCAACAAAACCCCUCAAUUAUAAUUGGUUUUUAGACAACCCAUUUGAUAACUAUUACUUUGAAAAAUUAAUUAUGAUUUGUUGGCAAGUUUGGAGAGCAAGGAACGAUACUAUCUUUAGGGGUAAGAAUCCCAACCCCAAAUCUAUUCCAGUUCUUGCUGCUUGCCAUCAAAGCAAUGCCCUACAAAUUGAUAUGCAAAGGUCUACAAUGCAUGAUCCUGUUGAAAUGAACAUGAUUAGGUGGUCACCACCCCCUUCAAAUUGGGUUAAAAUAAAUUUUAAUGGUUCUGUAAGAAGUAAAGCUGCUGCUGGAGGUUUUAUUUUAAGAACAGAAGAUGGUAAACCUCUUGUGGCAGCUGCCUUCAACUCUAGUGUUGCUAGUCUCUCUCUUGCCGAAACUCUUGCACUAAGAAAUAGUCUAGUAUGCGCUAAAGAGAAAGGCUUAUCAAAGAUUGAAGUAGAAGAUGAUUCCAAGCUCAUCAUUGACAUUGUGAAUGGAGUUUGUGAUCCCCUUUGGAGGCUUCUGAAGAUAUUCCAAGAUAUAAAUUUUUUUGAGAUGUAAUUUUGUAUCCAUCAGCUUCAAACAUGUAUUGAGGAAAGCUAAUUUCGUGGCCAAUGUUUUGGCUAACAUAGGGCAUAGGGUUGAGAAUUGUCACUUCUGGGAGGAGUGUCCCGAAGCAUUUCUUGCCCUUGCCUUCGACAAUGUAAACUCUGGGUGCCGGCGAGCACCUCUAUUUAAUAGAUUUUCUUCUCAUCAAAAAUAAAUAAAAAACAAAACCCCUCAAUUUCCAUAAACUCUAACUGCUCCAAUCAUCAGAAACAACAGUUUCGUACACAUUCGAUUGCAUACACAGAGAAUUAAACCUAUAUUUAUGAAUCUCAAAAGACUGGAUUAUGAAAUUACCUCGAGCUUUUCCUCGUUGUUCGCCAUAUUGAGUUCGGAGCUCUAACACGAUCUCACCUCUCUUUCUUCCUCUCUACCUCUCUCCUCUCUCUCUCUCUCUCAAUCUCACACUGGCACUCUCUCUAUGUGUGUUUCUCGUUCAAUUUUGUGUUUCACUAUAAACCCGUCUAGUGGCAGUAGGGUUUGUUCAGCUUGAGGGGGACAUGUGGCGGCAUCCUACUUGAUUGUAUACUGUCCAAGUUUUAUGAAACAUCGCCGUAUUAAACUGAAGAGCAGGCAUGACAUUGGACAAAGAGAGUCCACCCUAAUAGUUUUACCUAUAUAACUCCACUUUUCUUACUCAAAUUAUUUCCCCUUGACUGUCUUACCCUUGUGCAUAAAGAUAUUAGACCUGUGGCGCUCAAAAUGUCUCUCAUUGCUGUCACCCAAAGGGCCAAAACCUCGCUCUGCAACGCCGGCUCGACUACGAUUGCGGUCACCACCGACAACAACGUCGGCUCGACCUCGACUGCAUCUCCAAUUCUAUCGACGAUGACCUCCGACUCGACAUCGGCUGAAUCUUCGAUUUUGACCUCGAUUGGAUCUCCGAUUCUGUCGUCGACAACCUUGAUUGGAUCUCUUAUUCCGUCCUCGACCGGAUCACCAAUUUGGCCGACAAAAACCUCGAUUGGAUCUCUGAUUCUUUCAAUGACCACCUCAACUCGAUCUCUGAUUCCAUCGACUGAGUCUUGCUCGACCUUAGCUGCAUCUCUAAUUCGGUGACAUAAGUUUCUAAUCUCGUUGGCUUUGGUUUACACGAAUUUAAAACAAGCAACUAUGUGCUUUGCUUAUAUUUGUUGUGUGAUGGUGAUGGUUUUUAGGAUGAAAGAGAAGCACGGGAGCCUCAAUGUGAAGGCGAAGUAGAGAAAUAACCAAUUAGGAUCCGGAUCGAGGGAUAUCUAUUUUUACACAAAUUUUGACACUCGUUUUUAGCUUUUAGAUUUUAAAUUUUUUAACGGUGUAGAUUAAUUGUGGAUAUGAUGUGAACCACUACUAGAAAUAAGUUCUUAGGUGACGAAAUUUUUUCGUCACCUAAGAGCUUCUAUUGUCCUGUAUUGAUGUAUACACUAAUACGACGAAAAUUUCGUCACCUAAGGUUCGUCAUCUAAGGGCGGUGGUUAGAGCACUUAGGUGACGAAAAUAUGAAUUUCGUCAUCUUAGUAAUGACUAAGAUGACGAAAACCUUUUUGUCGCCAAGAUACUUAGCUGACGAAAUAAUUUUCGUCGCCAAACUACUUAGUUGACGAAAAUAAUUUUGUCGCAAAUCUGGUUACAUGACGUAGUAUGACCAGCUAAGGUGACGAAAUCAGUCAUUACGAAAACACUAACACUACGAAAACAGUCAGUUUGCUGACAAUUCUUUCAUCGGGCUAGGGCCACGAAAGUUGAAUUUUCAUCACCUUAGUGCUAUUUAUAUUUAUUAAAUUUGAUCAUUAAUAAUUAUUAAAAUCACAUUUAAUAUUAACAAAAAUAAAUUUAAAAAAAAAGUCUCAAUAUUUCAAAAACCCACUAUUGGCCAAAGCAGCACCUAGGCAGUAGCAAACAUAUAUAUAUAUAUAUAUAAUCAAGUUCAUAUACAAACUCAUCAAGAGUAGUACUUGAUCAAUAUAGACUUGUUCAUACAAAAUAUAUACUAGCUAGAAAAUGAACUAGUGACUAUGAAGGGCUAUCAAUUGAAUCAAUGCCUCCAUCAUCAUGAUCAUCAUCAUUGGGAUGCUCCUGGGGUGGGACUGCCGGCUGGCAUACGCCGAAUUUGGUGAAAAGAAACUGCUCACAUUGUUGAAGACGUGCCAUGAUUUGUAUGUUCUCUUCCUUGGCUUUUCGGGCUUCCUCAUUGGCUUUCCGGGCUUCCUCCUUAGCCUUUCAAGCUUCCUCCACAGCAAUAUCAACAAGUGCAGCUCGUUGGGAACGUGAAGUGCAGCUCCUAUCGGGCCCUUGACUCAAACCAUAACUGCCUACUAGUCCCAUGACCCAGAUCUCAUUCAUGUUUCUAUGUCUAAAUGCUUUUUCAAACACAAUCGCUUGAGUUUGUUGGUCAAAAUGAAGAUCAAUAUCUUCUUCCGGAAUGCCAGGGUAUUCCUUCCUCACAUUGUCACGGAUCUCAUCAAGCUUAUCCAUCAGUUUAGCCUAACAAAAGAAGUAUAUGUUUUACAAAAACAAUUACUAUGGAGAAUAGAGUUUUGAGGGCAGUAAUAUCUAUAUUGCUGAAAGUCAUUAAUCAUAGGCUCUCAUCUAGCAUUAUUAACCCAUCUAUAUAUAUUGAUUACCACCACAUAUUAAUCAACCUCCAUAUAUCAAGGUAUCAAGAAACUUAGUCUGAGAUGCACUAUGAAUGACAUUAACUGCCACAAUUCUUUUUUGAGAAGUCACUAGUAUAUGUUCCUUAUUGUGGUUUUUGCUUAUGACAUGCAUUAUUAUAUAUUACAAGUUACUCAUGCAUUUGGCAGGAAGUAAUGCAAGUUAACUAGUUAAUAUCGUGCAAAAAAAAACUAAUUCACAAUAUUGUUGCUUCCAGAGACCAAGAAGUAAUGCAAAGGCAGGAUGUAAACCACUUACUUCAUUUUCAGCUGCUUUCAAGUUGUGAGCUGAGUCAUACACCUGUGAGUAACUUUUAAUAAAAUAGAGGUGUUCACCCUUGUCCUUCAAUUCCUUCGCAUUGUAGAUGAAAGGCCUCGCCCCGGUGUAGUGGUACAAUGUCUUCUUGUCCCGGUUACUCUUGUUUGCAGCCGAUCUUCUCUGUAAUUUCAUCAUAUUAACAAUUUGGUUAUUAACAUCAAGCUUAAUCAUCAAAAACCAUAAACACAAAACUGACCAAAUGAACAGUAGUAAUGCAAAACCCAGAUAUAUACUUGUACCCAGAGAAACUGUUGUAGUAAUGCAAGUAAUAUAUAUAUACUUGUACCUAGAGAAACUACUGUAGUAAUCAGUGGAAUAUAUAUACUUGUACCUAGAGAAAAUGCAAGCAAUAUACUUGUACCUUAAUCUACCUUGUACAGCAAAGAAAAAACUAAAGCCUUAUUUAUUUUCUGCUGGAUACAAAGUUAACCAAUUGAACUAAUCAUUCGAAGGAGCCAGAGAAUGGGGAGUAACAAUUGCAGCUGAUCAAUGGAUUGCCUUGUCAUCAGUUAAAAAAAUCUACCAACUUUUUGUGUAACACAAAAUGUCUCAAACUUUAAAUAGAUCAAUACUUUUGGUAGUCCAAAAUCCAGUAUACUUCUUCUCUACUCACAAGUUUGUGUUUGCUAAUAGAAUGAUGGGGCUAUUUCCGCAUUGCUUAAAAAAACCAAAUUCUAAACCACUUUGGUAAUUCAACAUGGAAGGAUUCCAUAAGGGAUUCCAAGAUUUCAAGUCCAUGGGAUAGAGGCGAAAUGGAUGACGUUAAUAUGAAAUAACAAGCACAAUAUAUGGAUGCAAUAGAGGUUCAAUAUCCUACACAGAUUCAAAACAAGGGUAUCUGAGGACUAAUUAAUCAAGAACUCAAGAAAAAGACAUGCAAAAGCCAAGAAACUGGUUUUCCAAAAAUCAAAUGGUCAGAAACAAGGCAGAACAACAAAGGUAAAACAACCUUGGCACCAACUAGCAAUAGCCAGCUACACAUAACACUGAAUACAAUAAGGGAGAAACUAAUCCUUUUGAUUAAACCAACAAAGUUUUGAAUAAACCAACAAACUUUCAGUAGCAACAGUUAGUUAUAAAAUGAAAGUAAUAUACUAUGAAUCCAUCAGACUCGAAGGGUUUGAGGAGCCAGUUCCACUCAUCCAGCCUGUCACACCCCGGUUCUUAAGUUAUUUUACGGUUAUCUUUGGUAUUAUUUUGGUCUUUUACUGUUUACUAUUUUAAGACUCCAAAAGUUGACUUUUUCUUCCAUUUGGACUUUAGGAAAAAUUCCUUCAUGAAAGUCGUAGAGGACAUUAAUACGAGUUCGUAGCAUGCUAUGCGUUAAAUUCGAUGUUUGCAUGACAAAGUUAUCAAUUAAAAGGGUAAACAUUAGUUGGUAAGGGGUAAAUUUUUAUUGGGUUUUAUUUUGUGGGUGUUUUAAGUGUUGGACCGGGUGUGGAGAAGCCCAACACCCACAUUCUCUUUCUCUCUCUCUUCACUCUCUCUCCCGAGCCUUCCCCGAGCUCUCGCUCCCGCCGAAAACUUUCCCAGCGUCGUCCGCGGCCGUCCGGCCACCAUAGACCGCCGCACCGGUCCCAAACGGUCGGCCGUCGACCCAGCUCUCUUCUUGGACCGGUGGGAACCGCCCUAGCUCCGCCGUGAGAGAGGAAAAGCUCUCGGAAGCUCCGGUUGCGUGGUGGAGUCCCGACGCAGGAACUCGCUCCUCCGGCCACCAUCUCCAGUGAUUUCAGUCCCAUUUGGAAGUGCUCUCCGUGUGUAACAUUUCCAUAGAAGGUAAUGAUCCAAUUCGAAGUGUGUAGGAGGAUUUUCGGGCUAGGGUUUGAAUUGGGGGAUUUUUGGAUGUUUUGAUUUGAUUACCCUAGUUAAGCUUAGAAUUGGACUAAGUGCUAGUUAUGAAAGUUGUUAUGCUUGAUGAGAGGAUUAUUCUGUUAAAUUUUGGGAGGCAAUGGGCACCGCCGGAGGUUUUUUUUCAGGUUUUUGGGUUUGUUAUAAUGAGAGGAGUCUAAUGAAGUAUAGUUUGGAAUUUUUGGAGGAGUUUUGAUAAGGUUUGGGAUUUUUAAAAGAUUAAGGAUUUUGCCGGUUAUUAGAAUGAAAAUCCGGCCUUGGAUUUCCUUGAUAUUUAUUAUUGGAAAAUGGGAAAGUAAUUAAGUUUGGUUAGUUAUGUUGCGAUCAGUUACUUGAUUAUUUUUCGUCCACUCACUCUAACGUUUUUAAAUUACUUUCCCUUGGGCCCUUUGGUUUUAAAUUCCCAGUUUGUAGGCUAAGUCUAAGUGAGGUCGAGCGUACAUGGAGUCGAGGCAUAGUCAGAGGCUGCUUCCGCUUAUUCUUUAUUCUUUGUUUUUCUUUCAUUAUAGAUGUGCUCUGAUAACUAUUUGAGAUAGUUGUUAGUUGAUUAAGGUUUGUUGUAUUUUUGGGAGAUGUGUGGAACUUGAGGAGCAGGAAGGCUCCAGGUUGAGGCUGGUUUAUUUGUUUAUAGAAGUGUAAAUUGGAUUUUUCAGGUAAGGGUUGUCCAUUUUCAAGGUAGAUUAUGCCGAAUUUUUGGAAAAUUUUCCUUGGAAGUGAACCCCGCAAGAUUUACCUCGGGUUUCAGGGUAAAUUUUCCAAGGUAGAUUAUGCCGAAUUUUCGUUAAAAUGCUCAAUGAAAUAACCAAUCCAAAUAAUCAACAUAUUUCAAACCUCAAAUCCUUGAAUCAUUAUAAUUAAUAUAACUUAAAAUACCAAAUCUUUUACCCAAGCUCAAAUUCAUAACUUCCUCAAUGAAUUCAUAAUCAAUGGGUCAAUCACACAUAAAUCCCAUAACCAAUUCAAAAGCCGUAAUUAUAAUUUAAGCUUGGAAAAAUGUAUAAUGAACAACUUAAAAAUCAUGCAUGCAUAUUAGUUAAUAACCAAAAUGUCCACUCACAGAAAAACCCGCUACGUCGGUCCGCGGUCAAAACCCUUCUCACGUGGGGUCUCCUCUCAUCCUGUACAAAAUGAGAUUUAAGACCCGAGACAACAAUCACAAAAUUAAUCAAUUAUAAGGAAAAGCUAUCCUAGCACUAAUCUCACUCACCCAAACUUUCCAAAAUCUACUUAUAGCUCUACUUUAUCAACAACUUCCUACAAUACGACGAGGAAUGGACCAAACGAAUGAGCCUCCUCAAUUUCUCCCCUACCAAAACUAAUUCCAACACCAUAUCCCAAAUUUCAAGCAACCAUCUCCAAAAAUCCCCUACACUAAAUCAACAUUAGUCCCUUCUAAAAAUCAUCACCAUGUAAGGCAGCAGCCACCAGCAGUGGCGGUCAACCACCACCACCAUAUCAACUUCAACCAAAACUAGUAAAGCAUAUACCAAUCUCUUCUUCUCAACAAACACAACAACAAUCAAAACUAGCACGAACUCUAGAAAUCAAAGACUUGGCCGAAAAUUACCUCUAAAGCACAACAACACCAAAAAUUCCGAUUUGCCUUCUACUCCGAAUCAUUCUACCACUUUUGGGUGGUUGAAUGGCCAAUCAAUGAGCUAUAAAACCCCUCAAAGAUCACUUGAAUCGGUGGCCGAAAAAAUGGAGUUCUGGCUAGGGCAAGACUCACGACGGCAGCAGCGUCACCGCGCCUCAACACCGCCGAUUCUGGGCCGGUCACCACCCUAGGCUGGACGAGCGGCGUCUCAACUAUCAAACGUGACCCGCGAGGCAGCCAGGCGUGAUCGGACGACGGCGAUCGGUAGGGGAGAGGUUGGACUGGUCUGGGUCGGGGUCGGGGUCGGGGAGAGAGAAGGUGAGGUGCGGUUAUUUCUGUUUUCUAUCUUAACCCAAAAAAAUAACAAGUUUCCCCCCACUUAUACCCCAGCCCAAAAAUGGUAAUUAUCAUUAUUUUAGCUACCCUUCACUUACAAACUCCAGUUCGGGUAACUAAAAGUCUACACGUUUGUCUACACCACCUCUACCGAAAAUAAAAAUAAAUUCCUGAGUUGACAAGCUACAGUUAAAUCGAAAACCACAAUAUAAAAAUAAUUACUAGGUUCGGGGUGUAUCACCACUUGUACCACUACUGCAAACCCACCUCUCGACAUGCAAACCCGACUUCUCCUCUAGCUCAGCAAUUCUGUCACUCAGUUAGCUACACGAAUCGAAGGCGUUGAGAGUCGCGGGAGCCAGCGACCUCUAUUCUCGGGGUAUGGACAUCGCCCAAGUCCCUUCACGGCACGGGUGCAAAUGGAAAAGAGGCCACCCAAGGCCAAGCCUUUCAAAGUGGACAAAUAUAAGGGGACUGGGGACCCUCAUCUCCAUCUCGAAACAUUCCUUUCGUUGUGUAGUUCCACUCGAUACACAGAUGCCAUGGUUUGUCAUGCCUUCUAAGAAACCCUCUCAAAUGAAGCACUCAGUUGGUUCCUCAACCUGCCACACAACUCCAUUGAUAAUUUUAUGAAAAUCUACCGAAAUUUGUAUUCAUGCAUCACUGGUGUCUCCCUUCUUUCUAUUUUCAUAAUGUAUUACAUGCUAUUCAUAUAUUGUAAGUUUGCAUACAUCUAUAUAUAUAAGCGAAGAGUGUUUUUCACUGUUCACGUGAACAGUGACGUGACCCUUUUGUCUUUCCUUUUUAAAUCUUUUUACACCUCUGCCAUUCAGUUCUUAGGUUUUUUUUUUUUUUUUUUNNNNNNNNNNNNNNNNNNNNUUACAAUCCACCCCCCUUCGGGAGUCCGACGCCCUCGUCGGCACACUCGCACCACACGGCAGAGUGGCUCUGAUACCAUUUGUCACACCCCAGGACCCAUUCCGCCGUAACACGAUAUUGUCCGCUUUGGGCCCACCGGCCCUCACGGUUUUGUUUCCGGCAGCUCAGGAGCAGCUUCCUAGUAGGUCACCCAUCUUGGGAUUGCUCUAGCAUCAACAUGCUUAACCUCGGAGUACCCAUCCCCUCCGAAGCCGCUGAGCCACCAAAAGGCCUCGUGUUAGAUUGGAGGUGGGCAUGUAUAUAUACAGCACAUAACCCCUCUCCGUUUGGCCGAUGUGGGAUAUUACAAUAAAAAAUUUGGACCAUUUCUAGAUUUAUGCGUGUCAUCCUUGCGCAGGGGCCAUGCUAAUCUUCUCUAUAUCGUUCCAAUUUUAUCGGAUGUCCACGUAACACGAUAUUGUCCGCUUUGGGCCCACCGGCCCCCACGGUUUUGUUUCCGGCAGCUCAGGAGCAGCUUCCCAGUAGGUCACCCAUCCUGGGAUUGCUCUAGCAUCAUCAUGCUUAACCUCAGAGUACCCAUCCCCUCCGAAGCCGCUGAGCCACCAAAAGGCCUCGUGUUAGAUUGAAGUUGGGCAUGUACAUAUACAGCACAUAACCCCUCUCUGUUUGGCCGAUAUGGGAUAUUACAGUUUAAUUCAUAUAAGGGGUAUGGACACAUAUUUAUACACCCGUCUGUCCACCUUGAUGGCGUAGUGUAGCACCGCAUUAAGGCGUGACGUGAGCGUUGGACGCGAGCGUAGUAGCCCUAUAUAGACCCAUGAAUUUAUAUAGGGAGUAUGGACGAGUGUAAAUACAUACAUAUAUUAUAGAGUCUGAGAGGCUCGAUAUUUUAUGAGAUAAAAGUUUUAUCGCUUGCGGCAUGCAUUCGAUUUUUCCUUAGAAAUUAAUUUGGGGAAACAUAAAUAUUUUAUUUAUUAUUUUAUUUUUUGUCCACUCACUCUAACGUUAUUAAAUGUUUUCCCCUGGGCCCUUCGUUUUAAAUUGCCCAGUCUGCAGAGUUCGGGUUGGAUCUAGUAGGAGGGGAGGCAUAGUCACCCGCAUUUCUGCCAGUUUUCGUUAGUAGGUUACUUGUUCAACCUACUCGUGUUUUCUUGCUUCCGCUAGUGUUUAGUAGCUCUGAAUACUUUGGGAUUAUUGUAUAUUAUGUGUAGAAUUUCUGAAGGAUAAUUAUGUGAUGUUUGGAAGUGCUAAAUUAAGAGUGUAAUUUGGAAUUUUCGAGUUAGGGUUGUCUAUCUGCAAGGGAGAUUUUCUUAAUCUUUUCAGUAAAUUUUCCUUGGAGGUGGUCCUCGCACGACUUACUCCGGGUUUUAGGGUGAAAUUUGGGGUGGGUCGUGUCAUUGACUAUGCCUUUUCUCCAUGUACGCCCGACCUCAACUAUACUAACCUGCAUACUAGGCAUUUUUGAAACGAAGGGCCCAAGGGAAAACAUUUGAAAUUGUUAGAGUGAGUGGACAAAAAUGAAUUUAAUGAAAAAUGUCACGCCCCGGUUCUUAAGUUAUUUUACGGUUAUUUACUUUAGUAUUAUUUUGGUCUUUUACCGUGUUAAGUAACCGGUUACCCCUUAAGGACCCUAAAGUUGACUUUCUUUUCCGUUUGGAUUUUGGGGAAACUUUCUUCAUGAAAGUUGUAGAGGACGUUAAUACGAGUUCGUAGACAUGCUAUGUGUUAAAAUCGGAGUUAGCAUGAAAAAGUUAUUAUUAAAAGAGUAAAUUUUGAGUUAGAAAAGGGGCGUAAUUAUUAAUGGGUAUUAUUUUUUGGUCGGGUUUAUAGCUGGGCCGGCUGUGGAGAAGCCCAAAACCCUCACCCCUCAUUUCCUCUCUCUCCCUCUCUCCCUCACCCGUCACUUUCUCUCCCUCCCUCACCCGUGCAACUUGACCGCCGGAGAAGAGCCUCUGUCCGCUGCCGUCCGGCCGCCAGGGACCGCCGGACCACCUCUACCUGGACCCCCCGCCACCUCCUCUCCCUCCCCGGCCUAGCCCCCGAGCCGUUAGCCCGCUGGAAGAGGAGAAAACCCGCCGGAGACGCCGGGAAGCUUUUCGUCGGAAAUCCCACCUUCGGCCGCCAUAAGUCGAAAUCUUUAACUCAUCUUGUAGCCCUCAUCAAGGUGAGUAAUCCCUCAAAAGGAAUUAGUCUAUCUCGUUGUGGUUAUAGAGAAAUGUAUAAUUGAAGUUUUAGGGAUUUAUGGAUGUUUUGGUUCGAUUGCCCUAGUUAGCCUUAGAAAUGGACUAAGUGCUAGUUAUGAAUGUUGUUGAGCAUGAUGAGAGGAAUAUUCUGUGAAAAUUUGAGAAGUAUUGGAGGUCUCCGGAAAACGGCUGCCGGCCGCCGCCACCGGCAGGGCAGCUGCCGCCGCCGCCCCUUAAGGGCAGUUUUUCCUGUUUUUGAGAUGGUUUUAAUAAGAGGAGUUUAUUGAAAUAUAGUUUGGAAUUUUUGGAUGAGUUUUGGUUUGGUUUGGAAUUUUUCGGAGAUUGGAGAAAAGGCCGGUUAUUAGAAUGAAAAUCCGGCCGUUGGAUUUCCUUGGUAUUUAUUAUAGAAUGUUAGAAUUGAUGAAUUAAGGUUGUGGUGGAGUUUGGUGUGAAUCCGGCAAGUUUAACCCUAUUAAGAGUAGAGGGUUAAACGGAGGAGAGUUAGAUAUUUUAAUUCACGUAUUUAUUUUCUAGAAUUGAAGUUUGGUUCUAAGCAUGGUUGUUGUACCAGGAUGCGAAGGGAACCUCGCUUGAGUGGCGUUGCGGUUAUCGUCGGGCUUAUGCCCAAAUUUCUGAGUGGACAUUUUGGUUUUAAAAAUAAAUAUGCAUGCAAGAUUUUAUAAUCUAUCAUUUUAUUUUCCGAGCAUAUAAUAUAAUUUUUCAGUUCAUGAGAUGAGCUUGAAAAUUAUUUGAGUUUGGUGCAUUUAUUAAGUGUUGGUCAUGAUUUAUGGAGUUGAGCUCGGAUUAUUAUUUUGAUAUUUGAGUUUGGAUAUUUUUAUAAAUUCCGGAUUUCAUUAAAUGGUUUUAAUGGUGGAUUUUGAGAUUUAUAUAAGAUUUCCGAAAAUGGGAUUUUCGGUAGUUUCCUAUUUUUAAUUCUCGAAAUUAUUGGUGGAAUAUCGAUCUUGACUUUGAGUUUUAUAAAUGAUUACCGAAAAUGGGAUUGUCGGUAGUUCUCCUCAUAAUUUAAUUGUUCAUUUGAGGCAUAAUGAUUUUGACUUGGAGAAUAUUUUAGCGAGUAUUUCGGGCGUAGAUACUAUUAUUUAUGAUUCAUAUUUGUUAUUGAAAUCUCGCUUAUAUUUAUAAAUUGGAGAAUAUUUUGACGUGUGAGACACGUCAUUGAGUUGUGUUAUGAUUUCUUCUGAUGAUUUUCAUGUACGGUUGGGAACCGUACCAUUCGUUUGGUCUUGGGGGAAGUUUAAUGGAUUUAAGUGACUUCGUAUGUUUUAGUCACCAUAUUAUAGGGUCGUUUAUCUUAAUUAUUGCUAGCUAAUCUUAUUGGCGGUCCUCAUCAUAUGUGAGUCGCUAUUAUAGCCUUAUUAGCGGUCUUCUUCAUAUGUGAGUAGAGCGCUUAGCAUGGGACGCUAUUAUAGCUUGGGAGGCAACCGAUCGGUAUUUAUAUUUAUUAGUUAGCUAGCCUUAUUAGCGGUCCUCAUCAUAUGUGAGUUGAGCACUUAGCGUGGGACGCUAUUAUAGCCUUAUUUAGUGGUCCUCAUCAUAUGUGAGUUGAGCGUUUAGUGUGGGACGCUAUUAUAGCCUAGGAGGCAUCGACCUGAGCCUGGGAGGCUCCUUUUUCAUGGUGAUAACUCUUCCCCUAUUUUAUUCUUCUCAAUAAUAUAUUUGAUUAACCAGCGGGGCUGGUUUAUCUCCUCUUAUGAGAUUUAUGUUUUAACUAACCAGCGGGGCUGGUUUGUCCUUUAUUAAGUGAUUUUGGAUUUAAAGUUUUAAGGACGUUUAAGUUGCAUGUUGUUAAGUUUUAAAAGUUGAAAAGUGGGAAAGUAUAUAAGUUUUAUAAUUGUUAAGUUACUGAAUUUAUUUUCGUCCACUCACUCUAACAUUUUUAAAUUAUUUUCCCCUAGGCCAUUUGGUUUAUAAAUGCCCAGUUUGCAGGCUAAGUUAUUUGAGGACGAGCGUACAUGGAGUCGAGGCAUAGUCAGAGGCUGUUUCCGCUUAUUCAUUUUCAUUGUUUUCAUUCAUCAUUAGAUAUGCUCUGAAAGUCCAAUAAUAGCUUAUUAAAUGUCUUUGUUGUUGAUUGUGGAAUUAUUAUUAGAUGAGAAAUUGUUAUUGGGAGUUUUGAUGAACUUGGGGAGCAUGAAGGCUCCAGGAGACGAGGAUGGAUGUUUGUUUAUAGAAGUGUUAAGUUGGAUUUUUCAGGAAAGGGUUGUCCAUUUUCAAGGAAGGUUAUGCCGAAUUUUCGGUAAAUUUUCCUUGAAGGUGGACCCUGCAGGAUUUACCUCGGGUUUCAGGAUGAAAUUCGGGGUGGGUCCUGACAAAAAAUAUUUACGCUUUCCUAGUUUAAAUUUCCAUAGAAAAUAUACUGCAUGCGACAGCUCAAAAGCUCUCAACUCAUCAAUUGGCAAUUACAUGACUAGCUCCGGCUAGUCUCCAAACUUAAUAAAAUAAAGCCUCUCAGGCUAAAAUAAUAUAUAUAUAUAUAUAUAUAUGUAUUUACACUCGUCAUACUCUUUGUACGAAUUCCAUGAAGGAAUAAGAAAAAUAGAAAUUCAUACAAGGCUACUACGCUUGUGUCUAACAUUCACGUCACACCGUAAUUGGAUUUUACCUCAUUAUGGCGGAAAAGCACGAGUGUAUAUAUACGUGCAUAUUCCCUAUAUAAAUUACUAAAUUUAUAUAGGGCUAUGACGAUUGUGUCUAACGCUCACGUCACACCAUAAUAGAAUUUUACCUCAUUAUGGCGGAAAAGCACGUAUAGCUAGCUAGCAUUUAUUUAUAUGCAUACUAUCCUCAUAAUCAUCCAUAUACAUAUGCACCGAAAAUCUCAUUUUCAGUAACUCUCCAGAAAGAAUGAAAAUUGCCAAUUAUAAAAGACGCAAUAAAUAUAUGACUCCACCGAAAAUCUCAUUUUCGGUAACUUUCCAAAUAGCGAAGUUAACAAAUAAAAUAAGAGCAUUUACUUCCAAAAAUAACUUCGCGAAAAUAAACAAUUCCACAAAUUGAUAUUCAAUAAAAUCACCGCAUGCUUAUAAUUUAAAACGAACGUCCACUCACAACUUUAGGGAUAAGCCCGACGAUAUCCAAUUUGCUACUUAAGUGAGGUCUCCUCGAAUCUUGGCACAAUAACCAUGCUUAGGACCAAACUUCAAUUUCAGAAAAAAUAAUUCUUAAAUAUAUCACCCAAAACUCUUCCGCCUAGUCCACUACCCUUUCUAGGGUUAAGCUUAUUGGAUUGACGCCAAACUCCACCCAAAGCCUCAAUUCAUUCAUUUCAACAUUCUAAAACAAUAAUAAGGGAAAUCCAACGGUCAGAUUCUACCCCAUUAACCGCCAAAUUCACCAAUCUUUCAAAAAUCUCAAACCUAUCCAAAACUCCUCCAAAAAUUCCAAACUUCACAUCAUUAAACUCCCCUUAAUAUUACACAUUUAAAACCAUGAAAAUCCCCCUAGGGUCGUCUGCUCCGUCGGCAGCAGCGGCCGGCGACUGACUCUGGAGACCCCCAAUGCCUACUAAAUUUUAACAGCUUCAUCCUCUCAACACGCUCUACAACUUUCCUAACUAGCACCAAGACCAAUUUCAAGCUUAACUAGGCCAAUCGAACAAAAACUUACAAUAAAACCCUAGAACUUCAAACACUUGAAUCUCCUUACCUAGGCCAAGAGGGAGUGAAACCUUUGGAGGGAUGAAUGCACGGGAGAAGAGCUUCCUUUUGAGCUAAGUAGCUUCGGCUAUGGCAGCCGGAGGAGGAAGUUCCGGCGACGGAACACCACGGACAGCCCGAGCUUCCAAGCGCGAUUUCUCUUUCACAGCGGCGCUAGGGAGGCUGCCACCGGUCCAAGAAGGAAGAGGAGAUGAUGGCCGACCGUUUGUGACCGGUACGGUGACCUACGGUGGCCGAACGACAGCGGAUUGACGACGGGAAAAUCCGGUAGGAAAGAGGGAGGGCGUCGGGAGGAAAGAGAGAGAGAAGAGAGAAGAAAAGUGUUAGGCUUUUCCCAACCGGUUUCUACCGAAACCAAAUAUAAACCCAACUCCAAAAUAACACCACCAAAAUAAUACCCUAAUAAAAAUUACCUUUUUACUAGCUAAAAUUUACUAUUUUACCGUCAUCAAAUAUUUCUUCUACGAAUCAUUCCUCCGAAAAAAUCGCUCCUCAAAACCCCUCUAGGGACCUUUGAAACUAUAAACUCAUUUAUGAAGACGGUAAAACUCUUAUUAAUACCAAGCUAGUAAAUAAGGUAAAAAUUUAAGAGUCGGGAUGUGACAUGUCUUGUCCGGACCCGUCCCGGAUUUCACCUUGAAACUCGAAGUAAAUCCUGUGGAGUCCACCUCUGAGGAAAAUUUACCGAAAAUUCGGCAUAACCUCCCUUAAAAAUAGACAACCCUUCCUAAAUAAAAACACCUGCAAACACUUCUAAAAGUUCCAACUCCAACCUUAUAACUCCUGGAGCCUUCGUGCUCCCCAAAACACAACAUCUCCCAAUUUAUUUACUAACUUUAACACUUAAAAUCUCACAACCAACAAUCACAGUUCAGAGCAACUCUAUUAGAGGAGAAAAGAACUAGAAAUAUAGAAAUGAGCAGAAGCUAUACUAUUAACUAUGCCUCUUCUCCAUGUACGCUGGACCUCAAUUAUGCUAACCUGCAUACUGGGCAUUUUUAAAAUAAAGGCCCAGGGGAAAACAUUUGCAAACGUUACAGUGAGUGGACAAAAAUGAAUUCAAUAAAAAUUAUUUAUGCAUUCCCAAUUUAAUUUUCAUAGAAAAUAUGCUGCAUGCGACAGCUCAAAGCUUUCUACUCACAAACUGGCAAAUACAUGACUAGCUCCGGCCAGUCUCCAAAACUCAAUAAAAUGGAGCCUCUCAGGCUAAACUAUAUAUAAAUAUAUAUGUGUAUGUAUUUACACUCGUCAGACUCCUUGUACGAAUUCUAUGAAUAAAAUAGAAAAAUAGAAAUUCAUACAAGGCUACUACGCUUGGGUCUAACGAUCACGUCACACCAUAACGGAAUUUUACCUCAUUAUGGCGGAAAAGCACGAGUGUUUAUACGUGUAGACUCCCUAUAUGAAAACCUAUAUGAAUCGGAUAAGAAAGUAGUUUUCAUAUAGGGCUAUGAUGCUUGUGUCCAACACUCACGUCACGCCGUAAUAGAAUUUUACCUCAUUAUGAUGGACCAAGCACGUAUGGCUAGCUAGCAUUUAUAUACAUACUAUACUCAUAAACAUCCAAUAUACAUAUCCACCGAAAAUCUCAUUUUCGGUAACUCUCCAAAAGAUGAAAAUUGCCAAAUAUCAAAAAAAGCAAUAAAUUUCAGCAGAAGAAUAACUGAUCAACAAUAGAAUGCAUCGCAUGCUUUUAAUUAAAACAAAAGUUCACUCACAGUGAUUCUGUUGCAUUUGCUGUCAAGACAAGACAACGAAGACGAGCUCGGAAAAUCCUCCUAUUCUUUUUCGAUUUAACCCCCUUCUUUCACUUCUAAGAAUGCACAGUAAAGUCCCUAAUAAAAACUAAAGGGUAAGAGAACAAUAUAACCAACUCCCCUUCAUAACCAUUGAAACCAAUUCUCUUAUAUCCUUUUAAUUAAACAAACACACACAUGACUCCCAAAACAAUAAUACCCUUAACUACCAUUUAACUUAGGAGAUUCACCUCUCGGUCAAAAUGGCAAAUGCACCCAAAAUACUCUUUGCAUUCAGAAGUUUUCAUUGUGCACCCAAACCUUUCCUCUAGUCCAAGCCUACAUGCAACCCCACAAUUCCAUAAUUAUAUUCAAAACUCACAACACAAUUCCGAAUUCAAUAGCCGAGAAUUAAAACCUUCUCACCUUGCGGUUUCAAAAGAUUAACACACGGUGCUCCUCCAAUUACUCUUUGCACCCAAAGUGGAAAUUAGCAUCCAACACCAAUCUUCAUUUGCUACACUGCCCUCCACCAAAACUAAACCCAAUAAUAACAUUAACUCCAUCUCCCUAUCCAACACCAAUCUUUCUAACUGUUAAUUUGCUGCCACCUAUUAAUGUAAAAACACUUGAAGUUUAUCUUCCAGUGCCAGUAGUUGUUUUUAAACUUGAUGCCCAAGUUUAAGCUGCUCACUCGGCAGCUAUUUGCAACCCACAAGUCUGAUUGAGGUUUUCAGACUUUCACUUGUGAUUGGCUGCAUGUAGUCAUGUGUUAGGCAUAAGCUAGCAAGUAGGUGAACCAGCAUUUCAAAUAAGACAAAGCAGCAAUCCAAAUUAUUGUUAUUAUUAUUAUUAUUAUUUUUUUUUUAAGUUUGGGGUUUCACAGAACGUCACGGGGUUAAGACUUAACAUGGAUCUCCUGGAAGAGCGCCGCGACAGGGUACACCUCAGGAAUGUCAACUACAAACAAAAGAUUGCUCAACACUACACCAAGAAAGUUGUUCCCCGCCCCCUAAAGGUAGGCGAUUGGGUUAUGAAGGAAGUCAUUCCCCACCCCACUGGACUCAAAUCAAAGUGGGAAGGCCCUCUCGAGAUAGUCAAUGCCUCAGGACCAGCUACAUUCUAUCUCCGGGACACUGAUGGCUGAGUACUACCCCGCACCUGGAACGCUCUCCACCUCCACCUCUACCCCAUUUAAAUUAACAGACCCGGCAUAGUAGCUAGUACUUCAUUAUUGUGUACUUCAACCCGUUAGUGGCUCACAUUAAGUGUACACCUUGCCCAUUAGCGGCCUACCCUAAAUGAAGAUGUUAUGUUUUUUAUCAUUUUUAUAACAUACCGUAUCAAGAACACGAAACAACAAAGCAAACAGUAGUCCACAAACAAAAGCAUUCAUUAAAACAAAUAAGAAUCAACAUGGACUCCUAAGCAAUGCAUAAAAAACAAAUUGUUCAGAUGGCUAACAUUGUUUUACAAGCAAACAAAAGAAAGCAAAUAAACCUAACAAUAACAGCAAAUUACAAAGCAUCAUCAUUUCUCCCCAGAGGACGCGCCACUUGACUUAUUCACGCUUCUGCCACUCCUUGAACCGCUACCACACCCACGACUGUGGCUGAUAUUCACCGACACCCUCUGUCCAUAAGCAUGCUUAGAGCGGUCACGUGACGUUGGUGGAGGCCUCACUGAAACAUUAGGGCGCACCAGGGAACUCACUUGUUGCACCUCAGUGAUAGGGGACUUGCUCGCUGAGGUCUUUUGCACUUCAGAACGCGGUGGCGCCACAAGUCUAGGUGCUUGAGGGAUAGUUGGUUCAAUAACAGAGGAUGUGACCUGAGAUACCACCACUUGAGCAGAAGGGGAUCCCUCAGGACGCGAAGCCCUUAGUGGAGAAGCAACGAUCACCGCAAGUGGCUGAGGCGUACCCACAGUAGGAACUUCUUUUGGCACGGCAGAGGAUGUAGCGCGCUAGGCCUCAUGCUGCUUAGCCAGAGAUCAAGAGAUCUCAGCUUGCUUCCUUUGCUCUGAGGUCAUCUGUUCCCAAGCCUUCUUCGCCACAUCCCUCUCGGCAUACCACUUGCGGAUGGCCGCUUCAUUUAUCCAGCCAAUUUGGCACCAGUCUUGCUUAGCUCAUCUUGUCCCCGGUUAUAAGCGCUCCUCAGUUGCUGCUUACACACUUCACUCUCCCGAAACACCCUCUCCCCAGCCCCAGCAGCCCUUGCACACUUCAGCUUCCACACUCUCUCUUACUUCGCCAGGGCUUGCGUUAACCUCGCCACCUCAGCUUCCAGAGACACCGCCUUGGCAAUGGCCACCUCCCCAGCCUCCACCUGCUUGUUUUUCUCCUGCACAGCUUCCUUCAACUCAGCCACCUCCUUCCCAGAUGCAGCAGCCUGAUCUCGGAAGAUAGCAACAUCUUGCUCCAGACGCUGCGAGAGGGCUCGGUUAUUCUCUUCCGCCUCCCUCAACUGCUGGCAUUUAGCCUCGGCAUCCCCCUGCAAGUGAGCAACAACCCUCUCACUUGCAGCAUACAUCAGCAGCGUCGCCUGCAGACAGCACCAAAAUGUAAGCAAAAAGGCAGGGAACUAAAGGACAAAAUGACCAUUGUGCACACUUACCCGAGUUAGUUUCUCCUUGGCAAGAGCUACACAAGCUAGAGGAUCAAUCUCCUCCAUGCAUGGAUGUCACGAGAGCGGUGACACAUGUCAUAUGCCAUCUGAGCUAGGGAAGGCUGCACCUCCCCGGUCCCCUCUAGAGCUUGGGUGAUCUCGGCCAGGCUCCCCAAGCUCUUGGAACGCCCCUCCUUACGGGACUUCUUUGGUUGGCCUUCACGUGACGACUCGACCCUUUCUUUCCUCUUUCGGGUCCUUGUCAUGACAACCUCUUCUUACCCUUGCCCAAUGGGUUCCACCUCCUUCACCACAACAUCCUCGCCACCAGUUUGGGGCUCACCCACAUUACCCAAAGACGUAUCUUCCACUCCUACUGGCUCCGCAUAAGCUCUUCCUCCACCGGAACCUGCUCAUGAUAGUCCCCGUGGUCGCCACCCUCAGUGUCCGUUUCCUCGUCAUUCACCUCUUGAUCACCCAAGCCCAUAUAUUGCUUCUGCCACCAAGGGAGGCAAAUAAGCAUAAUCCUCGUCCGCCAGCUUCAACCUCAAAAAAUCAUCCUCACCCUCAUCCAGCUCCACCUCUUUCCUCUCGCUAGUCUCCAAGUCGAUAUCGUACCGCUUGACAUGAUCAACCUUGGCACGUAACCCAUCCAGUACGUCCUCAUCCGACACCUUGUCAUAAGGACCUUCCUUCUUCCGCGACCCACCGUCCCGAGGCAUUGUCACUACACCAAACAAAAGAUGAGGAUCAAGUAGAGACCAGAAAGCAUAACCGAAAUGACUAUAUAUGCCAAGGCAGCAUAUCCGAUACGAGCUCCUAGACUCGAAUGCCCACAGCACCCGGCGUAUUCGACGCUCCAUCAGCUCGGUUAAUUUAUACUCUUGGGGCAUGACUUGUAUACAAUUCAUGCAAGCGAACGUAUCGUUGUCAAGAUAGGGAAGUAUUUGUGCCCAAGUUAUCGUACCAUGGGGAUUAGUGGCUAACCCACAAUCCUAAGCUAAUCGGAACAAAAGUCACUAAGCAAACAAAGAAAAAGAAAAAAAAUACUACUCUAAAGCACCAAGCCUUAGCAAUGCUCGGCCUCAGUUAUCACCAAAGCCUAAUCAAUACUAAAUGCCUAGUGAUGGGUAAUUACAAUGAGUCGAUAUAUAAAAUGGAGAUUGAAUGGGGAAUUAACUAAAUUGACGAAAAACUAAAUAAAAAUAAACUACUAACUAAUGAACUAGAGAAUGAUGAGAACAUGGGAGUGUCGGGUGAUUCACACUAACUCAUAUGCAAACAUCGAUACCAAUUUCACAAAUGCAUAUCCUAUUGUAUCAAAUCCCGUAUCUAAUACCGGUUAAGGCUACUAGACCAAUUAUCCUUUCGGUGUAUCGAUUAUGCCGGUUAAGGCCACAAUCAACUCUCUAACAUGGGCAUUACAUCGGUUAAGGCCGUAACAUCCAAAUUAGAGGCCUAGAGUGCAAGAUAAUAGAGACCCAAGCAAGCUUAGCUACAAUCAAGCUAGCUAAUGGUUACCACACUUCAAAUCCUAGAUGCACAAGACUAAUAAGUUGUCAAUUUAUCAAUCUAUCCAUCAAAUUGUCCACAACAUAAUCUCAAAGGGUGACAAAACCUAGAAACAUAUUUCUAAGGACCAACACAUUCAGAUUCAAAGCAUACACAAUGUAAAUUGCAUUUAUAUCAAUCAAAGUACCAACAUUAUACAAAAUGAGUUUAGGGCUUCAAUACCCUAACUCCCAAAAUUAAAUCACUCACAACCCAUAGUCAAAUAGAUCAUCAAUAGCAUAUAAGUUAAAUAGCUAUCAUUCUAGCAUUGGUAUGGCGCCCUUUGAGGCUCUUUAUGGGAGGCAGUGUCGUACGCCUUUGUGUUGGAAUGAAGUAGGGGAAAAAGAGCUUUGUGGCCCAGAGUUAAUCCAUGUUACGAAUGAGAAGAUUAAAGUGGUUAGAGAUAGACUCAAGACUGCUCAGAGUAGGCAGAAGAGUUAUGCGGAUGUCCGUAGGAGAGAUCUUGAAUUUCAAGUGGGUGAUUGGGUGUUCCUGAAAUUAUCUCCUUGGAAAGGGGUUGUGCGUUUCGGUAAGCGUGGGAAGCUUAGUCCGAGGUAUAUUGGCCCUUAUGAGAUUAUAGAGCGAGUUGGCUCACUUGCUUAUCGAUUAGCUUUGCCUCCAGAGUUAUCCCGGAUACAUAAUGUGUUUCAUGUAUCCAUGCUUCGCAAAUAUAUUGCCGAUCCUUCUCAUGUGCUGCAAGAGCAGCCGAUCAGUUUAACGAGAGAUUUGACCUAUGAAGAGGAACCGGUUCAGAUUCUCGACCGAAAGGAGCAAGUGCUUAGGAAUAAGACAAUCCCGCUUGUCAAGGUUCUGUGGAGAAGUCAUCAAGUAGAAGAAGCUACUUGGGAAUCAGAGGAGCAAAUGAUGCAGCAGUAUCCGUAUCUCUUCGGAUGACAUGUAUGUUAAUUUCGAGGACGAAAUUUUUAUAAGGAGGGGAGAAUUGUCACAUCCCGACCCUUAUAUUUUUACCUUAUUUACUAGCGUGAUUAUUAUAAGAAUUUUACCGUCCCAGUCAUGGAGUAAAUAGUUUAAUUGGUCCCUAGAGGGGUUUCGGGGACGAUUAUGUGCGGAGGAUAAUUCGUAUGGGGAAAAUACGACGACGGUAAAAAUAGUAAAUUUUAGCUAGUAAAAGGUAAUUUUUAUUCGGGUAUUAUUUUUCGGGGUGUUUUUAUUUUUGGAAGUUUGGGUUAAGUGUUGUGGACUGGGUUGGGGUGAGGCCCAAAACCCUUUUUCUCUUCUCCCUCUCUCCCGAUUUUCUCUCCUCCCACCCGGUUUUCCCCUCUCUACACCCAGAAGAAUUUCCGGCCGUCCUUCCGCCGCCGUCCGACCUCCGUUCGCCGCCGGACCGGUCCCGUUCGGUCGGUCUCCCUCCCAGCAACAUUUCUAGACCGGUGAGAGGAGCCCUAGCUCCGCCGUGAGAGAGCGGUGCCACCCGAAAGCUCCGACUGCCGAAUCGGUUUUCUCGCCGGAACUUCCUCCUCCGGCCACCAAUCCGGGCAAGCUUGGUACGGUUUUGUAGCCCUCCUCCCGUGCAACAACCCCUCCAAACAGCUCCCUCCCUCUUGAGCUAGGUAAGGAGAAAUUUGAGGUGGAAGUUUUAUGGUGUUUAAGUUGUUUUCGUUCGAUUAGCCUAGUUAGGCUUGGAAUUGGGUGAUGUGUUAGUCAUGAAAGUUGUAGAGGAGAUUGAGAGGAAGAUUCUGUUAAAAUUUGGUAGCAUUUGCAGGUUGCCGGAAAACGGCUGCCGGCCGCCGCUGCCGGCGCCGGCGCCGGUUAGGAGAUUUUUAGGGUUUUAAAUGUGGAAUAUUAAGAGGAGUAUAUUGGUGUGAUUUAUGGAAUUUUUGGAUGAGAUUUGGUUAGGUUUGUGAAUUUCCGAAGUUUGGUAUUUUUGGCGGUUAAUUAAUGUAGAAUCCGGCCGUAGGAUUUAAGUCGUAUUUUGGAGAGGUUGUAUUUACGACUGUUGAGUAUGAUAUUUAAGUUCGGAUCGUUCCGAUGUAAGAAUAUCGAAGUUAGGCAAUGAUGAGCGUAAUUAUGGCUCUCGGGUAAUUUUGCCUAUUUUGAUUAAAUAUUGGAUUUUUUUGGUUGGGAAUUAAUAUUAUAUUUGGAACAGGACGUGAGGAGGCUCGAGCAGACGAGACCCCAGAUCGGCAUCAGGCUUAGGCCUAAUUUGUGAGUGGACGUUUAUUUUAAAUAAAUGCGUGCUAAAGUUCACGAUUGAAUAAUUAAUGUCGUGGAGUAUUUUGACGUCAUUUUAAUUUUUGACGAUUUUUAUUUCUCGCGGAGAGAUACCGAAAAUGGGAUUUUCGGUGGAUAUAAAUAUGUAUUUAUGAGAGAGUAUGUAUAUAAAAUGCUAGCUAGCCAUAUGUGUCUGUCCACCUUAAUGGCGUAGCAUGUAGCCGCAUUAUGGUGUGACGUGAGCGUUGGACGUAAGCGUAGUAGCCAUAUUUGAGUGUUUAAUUCAUAUAGGGGGUAUGGACACAUAUUUAUACACCCGUCUGUCCACCUUGAUGGCGUAGUGUAGCACCGCAUUAAGGCGUGACGUGAGCGUUGGACGCGAGCGUAGUAGCCCUAUAUAGACCCAUGAAUUUAUAUAGGGAGUAUGGACGAGUGUAAAUACAUACAUAUAUUAUAGAGUCUAAGAGGCUCGAUAUUUUAUGGGAUAAAAGUUUUAUCGCUUGCGGCAUGCAUUCGAUUUUUCCUUAGAAAUUAAUUUGGGGAAACAUAAAUAUUUUAUUUAUUAUUUUAUUUUUGUCCACUCACUCUAACGUUAUUAAAUGUUUUCCCCUGGGCCCUUCGUUUUAAAUUGCCCAGUCUGCAGAGUUCGGGUUGGAUCUAGUAGGAGACGAGGCAUAGUCACCCGCAUUUCUGCCAGUUUUCGCCAGUAGGUUACCUGUUCAACCUACUCGUGUUUUCUUGCUUCCGCUUGUGUUUAGUAGCUCUGAAUACUUUAGAAUUUUUGUAUAGUAUGCGAUGUUCAGAAGUGAUAAAUUAAGAGUGUAAUUUGAAAUUUUCGAGUUAGGGUUGUCCAUCUGCAAGGGAGAUUUUCUUAAUCUUUUCAGUAAAUUUUCCUUGGAGGUGGUCCCCGCACGACUUACUCUGGGUUUCAGGGUGAAAUUCGGGGUGGGUCGUGUCAUCGGAGCUAUUUUUAAUAAUAUUUGGAAGUUGGUAUUAUCCAGAAAUUUAUUAAAAAUAAUAUUCUAAGUCGGUUUAAUCUCAGCCGUUAGAUUGGGAAUACAUAUACGUUUGGGUUAGAUUGUAAAACAGAAGAACCGAGCUUGGACCGACUCGGUCUCGAGUUGCGAUUCCUCCUCCGUCGAGCGGCUGUCUCUCGACAUCCAACCGGUGGCCAGAGCUCCAUAUCGUCGUCCCCAACAUGACUGUGUUGUUAGAUUUCCAAAACAAGCUCGGAGAAGGGAGAAUCGAGUAGAAGAAGGAUUUCUGGGUUCGCCGGUGAUCUUCGGAUUCCGGCCACGGCGGUGAGCAUGAACGGUGCUGGUAGCUUUGCCUCAACUCCCUGAACAUCGUUGUGCUAUUGGUUUUUGAAUAGAAGCCUUGAGGAGGGAGAAUCGAACCUCAAAAGUUUUUAGGGUUUUCCGGUCGUGUUCUUCAUUUUCCGGCGAGCUUCAAGUAUCAAUUCAGGUAUCAAAGUUGGUCCAUUUGUCGAACUCUACCUGUUUAUAUGCUUGAAUUCGAGUUUGAUUAAGUUUUGGAGAAGUUGGUGUUUGGGCAGACGUCAGCCGCCGUGAGUACUGCUGUGUACGGCGAUGACAGGUGGUGGUUCUUGUAGUUUCUGGUUUUUCAUAGUAUACUGAUUGUGGAGGGAUGCUUUGAUAUGUAUUUGAAUGGCAGGAGAUUGAAAAUUGGAUGAAGUGGGUUUUGGGGCAGUGUUGUUCGGUGGCGAAAAUGAUGGUUGAUAGUUCUGGGUUUGGUUUAUGUUUUGGAUGAAAUUGCAGGACAUGAUGUUGGUGUUGUAUAUGCUUGAAGUCUAGAAAUGGAAGAGUUGGGAAGUAGAGGAUUCAAGUCGAAUUGUGUUGUUGGAAUGAAGAACAGUAGUGUUCUUCUAUUCAUUGAAGUGCUUGAAUUCAAGAGUUUGAAAGUUGAUAUCGGCAAAAUAGAACAUGGGUGUCCAUAGUAGAUUUGGAGUCAAGUUGGUACUUGGAGCGCAAUUUGGAUAUGAUGACGGCAUUGAGCGUAAAGGCGAAUAAGAAUGUGGAAAUAAAUUGAAAUGAGUACAUUUGAUUCGGAAAUCAUUGGAAAAGAAAAAGGAUUCGGUACGAGGAUCGAAUGCGAGUAGCUGGAUUGCAGAAGGAUAAGGAUUUCUGAAUGUGUGUUGCAAAGUUACUAAUUUUAGCUAGUGUCAGAAGUAGCACUUGGAUUCCAGGUAGGGUCUCUCUCGGGGAACUUUUCUUUAAAUCGGUAAUUAGAUUUUAAUUGAAAUGGGUGAUUUGUGUGUCAUUGAGUGAUUAACUCUUGGUUGUUACCAUUUUCGAUAAAAGUAUGUGAUAUCGUUGAAAUAUAUGAACGAUGUUUUCGCUUAUCAGAAAAGAAUGUAUUGAAUGUUAUGAUAUGAGUAUUGAUAUUUGUUGCAUACAUUUUGCAUUGUGAGAAAUUGUGAGAUUAGUGAGAAUGGUGAUUAUGGAGAUGUGAAUGAGAUUUGAUAGAAUGGAUACAUUUUGUGUAGUUGAGUUUCCUGAUGGGUUGUCCAAGAUCCAAGGUAGCCCACACGUGCACAAAUUCAGGGAAUGUAUGCCUUUCGAUGGCAGACAUCGACAAAACGAUCUUAUCGGGUUUCGGGUUUGGAGGCCAUGAGUAUAACAAGAUGACUAACAAAAGAGGUACAAGCGGUGAGAUAUUACUGAUUGUUAGAUCAUAUAUUCGAGACAUCUGAGUCACCCCCGGUUGGUAAAAUACACGGUAUGGGACGUGUAGGCUCACAUGUCUUUGAUGUAUGGACUGAAUGCCAGUAAUCGAGGAAGUCAUUCAUUAGCAUAAAUGCAUCAAAUUUUCGUUAUAUAUUUAAAGUAUUGUUUGAUUGUUUGAUAACUUGUUUGUGCGAAGUAGUUAAGAAUAACUUAAGAAGGUUAGGCCCUACUGAGCGUAAGCUCACCCCUAUAGAGUUUUUGUUCAGGUUUGUACGAGGACACAUGUUUCUAGAAGACUAACUGUGACGUUAGCUUAAGUGUACAAGAGACGAGAAGUACUGAAGAUUAGAAGCCUCAAGACCUAUUUUGUUUUUGUAAUUGGUUUUGUUAUUUGUAAACGUUUUAUUUUCUUUUAUUUCUGGAAAAGUAGUUGAAAUUUGUAUUAUUUUUUUUACUUUUCCCGCUCACGCCUCGGGUUCGGCGUCAGGUGCUUGGAAACCACUGACACCGGGUUCGGGGUGUGACACCACACGUAUAUACACCCAUCCUCUUCGGUCAUAAUGAGGAAAAAUUUGAUUAUGGCGUGACGUGAGCGUUAGAUGCAAGACUCGUAGCCUUGUAUGAAUUUCUAUUCUUCUACUUUGUUCAUAGAAUUCAUACAAGGAGUCUGACGAGUAUAAAUACAUACAUAUAUAUAUAUAUAUAUAUAUUUAUGUAUAGUUUAGCCUGAGAGGCUCCAUUUUAUUGAGUUUUGGAGACUGGCCGGAGGUAGUCAUGUAUUUGCCAGUUUGUAAGUAAAAAGCUUUGAGCUGUUGCAUGCAGCAUAAUUUCUAUGAAAAUUAAAUUGGGAAUGCAUAAAUAUUUUUAUUGAAUUCAUUUUUGUCUACUCACUUUAACGUUUGCAAAUGUUUUCCCCUGGGCCUUUAUUUUAAAAUGCCCAGUAUGCAGGUUAGCAUAGUUGAGGUCGAGCGUACAUGGAGAAGAGGCAUAAUCAAUAGUAUAGCUUUCGCUUAUUUUUAUAUUUCUAGUUCCUUUCCUCUCAAUUAGAGUUGCUCUGAACUGUGAUUGUUGGUUGUGGGAUUAUUCUUAUUAAAGUUAGUAAAUAAAUUGGGAGAUGUUGUGUCACACCCCGGUUCUUAAGUUAUUUUACGGUUAUUUACUUUGGUAUUAUUUUAGUCUUUUACCGUGUUGAAUAACCGUUUAUUACCUAAGGACCCUAAAGUUGACUUUCUUUUCCGUUUAGAAUUUGGAGAAACUUUCUUCAUGAAAGUUGUAGAGGACGUUAAUAUGAGUUCGUAGACAUGCUAAGUGUUAAAAUCGGAGUUAGCAUGAAAAAGUUAUUAUCUAAAAGAGUAAAUUUUUGAGGUGGUAAAAGAAGGUAUUUUUUUAGUGGGUAAAAUUUAUUGGGUUUAAGGGUUAUGGAUUGGCUGUGAGCAGCCCAUAUCCUCCUUCACUCUCUCUCUUUCUCCCUUCCCUCUUUUCCCCGAGCUCCCCGAGCCCCUCUCCGCCGGAAGCUCCCAGCCACCAGCUGCCAUCGUCCGGCCAGCGUUCGGCUGCUGCUCCAGCCCAGUUCGGACCCCCAUCUCCUCCUCUCCCUCCCCGGCCUAGCCCCCGAGCCUCUAACCCGCCGGAAGAGGAGAAAACCCGCCGGAGACGCCGGGAAGCAUUUCGCCGAAAAUCCCAUUUCCGGCCACCAAAACUUGCAAUUCUUAGCUCAUUUUGUAGCUCUCAUCAAGGUGAGUAUCCCCUCAAAAGGAAUAAAUCUUUCUCGUUGUGGUUACGGAGAAAUGUAUAAUUGAAGUUUUAGGGAUUUUUGAUGUUUUUAGUCGAUUACCCUAGUUAGCCUGAGAAUUGGACUAAGUGCUAGUUAGGAAAGUUGUUGUGCUUGAUAAGAGGAUUAUUCUGUUAAACUUUGGUAGAAAUUGGAGGUCGCCGGAAUCGGCCUCCGGCCGUCGCUGCCGGCCGAGCCGGCGCCGGCGCAGGAGCUGUUUGGGAGAUUUUAAUGUUUUUAGAUUUGGAAUAUUAAGGGGAGUUUAUUGAAGUGAGUUAUGGAAGUUUUGGAUAGGUUUGUGAAUUUCCGAAGUUUGGUAAUUUUGGCAGUUAAUUAAUAUAGAAUCCGGCCGUAGGAUUUAAGUCGUAUUUUGUGGGAAGUUGUUUUUACGGCUGCCGGUAUGUUCGGUGAAGUUUGAACCGUAUUGAGUUAAGAAUGGCGAAUUUGGGCAAUGAUGAGUGUGUGGGAGGCUCACGUUUAAUUUUGCCCAUUUUGUUCAAUUAUUGGAUUUUUGGUGGGAAAUUAAUUAUAUAUUUGGAACAGGACGAGAGGAGGCCCGAGCAGAGGAAGCCUCGGAGCGUCAUCAGGCUUAGGCCUAAGUUGUGAGUGGACCUUUAUUUUAAUUGAAAAGCAUGCGAUGAAUUAUCUGUUGAUCAUUUAUGUCUUUUCCUGAGAUUUAUUUAUUUCUCGGAUAUUUGGCAAUUUUCCUCCUUUGGAGAGAUCCCGAAAAUGAGAUUUUCGGUGGAUAUGUUUAUUGGAUGUUUAUGAUGAUAGUAUGUAUAUAUAAAUGCUAGCUAGCCAUACGUGUUUGAUCCGCCAUAAUGAGGUAAAAUACCAUUAUGGUGUGACGUGAGUGUUAGACACAAGCGUAGUAGCCCUAUAUGAAAAAUAUUUUCUUAUUUGGUUUAUUUAAGUUUUCAUAUAGGGAGUCCACACGUAUAUACACUCGUGCUUUUUCCGCCACACUGAGGUACAAUUCUAUUAUGGUGUGACGUGAGCCUUAGACGCAAGCGUAGUAGCCUUGUAUGAAUUUCUAUUUUUCUAAUUUGUUCUUAGAAUUCAUACAAGGAGUCUGACGAGUGUAAAUACAUACACUUAUAUAUGUUUAUAUAUACUUUAGCCUGAGAGGCUGUAUUUUAUUAAGUUUUGGAGACUAGCCGGUGCUGGUCGUGAAGUUGUCAGUUUUUGAGUUGAGCGCUUUUGAGUGAUUGCAUGCAGUAUUAUUUUAUUUGGAAAUUAAAUUGGGGAAGCAUAAAGAAAUACUUUUAUUUUAAUUUAUUUUUGUCUACUCACUCUAACUGUUCCACAUGUUUUCCCCUGGGCUCUUCGUUUUAAAUUGCCCAGUCUGCAGAGUUCGGGUUGGAUCUAGUAGGAGGCGAGGCAUAGUCACCCGCAUUUCCGCCCGUUUUCAUCAGUAGGUUACAUGUUUAACCUACUCGUGUUUUCUUGCUUCUGCUAGUGUCUAGUAGCUCUGAAUACUUUGGGAUUAUUGUAUUUUAUGUUUAGAAUUUCUGAAGGUUAAUUAUGUGAUGUUUGGACGUGUUGUAUUAAUAGUGUAUUUUGGAAUUUUCGAGUUAGGGUUGUCCAUUUUCAAGGGAGAUUUUAUCAAUCUUUUCAGUAAAUUUUCCUUGGAGGUGGUCCCCGCACGACUUACUCCGGGUUUCAGGGUGAAAUUCGGGGUGGGUCGUGUCAUGUUGUGAUGUGGGCAGCACGAAGGCUCUAGGAGUAGAAGGUUGUAGAUGGAUUUUUUUGAAGUGUAUGCAUGUAUUAUUAGGAAGGGUUGUCUAUUUUCAAGGGAGGUUAUACCGAAUUUUUUCGGUAAUAUUUUUUUUGGAGGUGGUCCCCGCAGGAUUUACUUCAGGUUUCAGGGUGAAAUUCAGGGUGGGUCUUGACACAGAAGCUGAAGAUACUAGGAGCUGAAAAUACUUACCUGUCUUCCGUACCGUCUCUCCCAAACAGGGCCAAACAAACUAGAUGGCAAAUCCACAACCCAACCUCUGCCGCUCAGAUUGGGCCUGACACGAAGUACGUUCUCGCCCAUCCAACGACACCGCCUCAAGGAUGUGUCGUCGAACUGGGCAUGCACUAUGAACAAGGGGCUGCUAGAUAGGGUUUUGAAGAGAAAAGUCUCUUUGUUUUAUCAAUUCUUGUUAAAAUUUGUAGCCCUGAUUUGAUGUCAACAGGUGAAAUCAAUCCUAAAAAUUAAUCAAAUAGUAAUUAAUCAGAGAUCUCCAAUGACCUAAUGUAUGGAUUUGUUACUAAGACAAUUGCGGUAACAAAAUUUGGGUACAAGGUUGGUUGUAACAGCUUGGAAACAGUCCCGCAUUGAUCAAAAAGAACAAAUUGUUUUUUUUAUGGAAGGGCCCUUACGACCAAUUUCAUUGAUCAAAAGCCAAAAUGGCGCGGAUACAUGCUUUCCCUUGCCAAACGUUUGGGAAAGUUAAUGACUUGACAUGGCAUGCUAGUACCAUUCAUUACAAAUUCCACUCACUUAAUUCGAUACAGAAAAGAAAAAAGUGAACCUAAUUAGACCAUGAAACAAAUCACAACAAUUAGGCACACACACAAAAUGCUUAGACUCCUAAAAAAGGAAUUAUUGUAAAUAGACAAGCUACAUACUUAGAAAAUGAGCUAAGGCAUGAACCCUAGCCCAAAUCUAGGCCCAAGCAACUCCAAAAUGGCCCAACCCAAAGCUCGAACAAGGGAGACCCAUGCCUGCAUCCACCACACCCUUUGCCGUCACUACUUCCCAAAGCAUCUUUGAAUCCUUCGUCCACGCCAUCGCCAUCCGAAACGAGUCAGAUCCACCAUGACCCUUACCACACAUGACAACAGCCAUGAUACCAUCAAUUUGCACCGAUCCAACAAGCUUCGCUGUCGACAAUAGAUAGCAAAAAAAUUCUGACGAAAACACGCCGUCGCAAUGCUCAGAUGAAAACAUGCCGCCGCAGGACUCAAAGCCAACAAGCCCCGAUCCCUUCGCUCAAAACUUCAAGCCAAAAAAACCAUGAAGAAACUACUUGGCAACUUGUAGAUCCCGUCCGACGGUCUCUACUCGGAGUCAUCAAAGCCCAAAGGCCAGCCUCUAACCGAGUUCGGCCACCGGAUGAGAUGGAGAUUUGGGUGUGGGAGUCGAGUGUCUUUCGGUUAUGUGUCUUGACCUAAUCGUUUCUUUAUUAUAAUAGAUUACAACAAAAUAACAAAAUGACAUGACAUGGACAAAGAAAAACGUGGUGUUAUAAGAAGUACAACACGAACAAUCAUAGAAAGUGCCAUAUAAGUUGAAGAAGCGGAGACACCAAUGCAAAGAGGAGUUAGCUACACUUCACUAGACUACAGAUUACAGAAUAAAUACAUAGAGCGAGGGAGUGUGUGAGGAAGAAAAGGGAUCAUGUUCCAUUGCCAGCCAAUCGUUCAUAAAUAUACGUCCCCCAUCUUUGUAAUUACCCAAAAAGCCCACUUCAAAGCUGGCACACCCAAACCUCAAAAACUUAAAUAAAAAAUAAUAAUAAUAAAAAGAAAAUAGAAACGGGAUGUUGUGGACUGUAGGAGCACUCUGCACUCCUAUUGAAGAAGCACCGCCCAAUUACUAAACUAGCAGCAUUUUUUCAGUCUUAGACCUAUUUUUGAAAGAUAAUAGUAAUUAAAAAUAAAUAGAAUAAUAGUUUUGGGAUUUGAGUAGUGCCCCCAGAUUAUGUAUUACAGAAAACAACCAAAUGGAGUGGCGCCCAUGUUCUAGUCAAUAUCAAAAUUCCCCACUUGGUCAAUCACCAAACCCCCGCUCUCUCUCCACUGCCCUACUCCCCUCGUCCCCUCACUAUCUUUAAGAUCAUAGCAAUCCCACAUCACAUAUCAACAUGCUUAACUGAUUUCUGAAAUUCUAGGGUUAUAAAAAAGUAACCCAACAUUUUUCUAUUUAACCCUUUCCCAAAAAAAUCAACUCUAAACUUUGAUUGAUCGUAACUUUAUCGUACGACAUCCGUUUUACGCGUGCCACAUGUCUACGAACUCGUAUCGCCGUGCUCUACAAAUUCCGUGAAAGAAGUUUCUUGAGAAACCCAAUGAAUAAAAAGUCAACUAAAAAGUCAACCAAAUAAAAUAAAUAAAUAAUAAUAGAAACUAGUAUCUAAAUUCCGGGGUAUUACAUGUACUCUUGGUUUACCUUAUGUGAUGUUGGGUUGAGUCCGUUAAUGUAGAUUUACUCAUACGACCUGUUAAAGCUUACCGGGUUUGUUGUUUAUAACCCGGUGCACUAAUUCAUGAUGUAGGGGUUAUACCUGCAAGUGAUGAUCAGCAGGGUUGAGGCGGAGGCAUAGUAGCUGGGUUCUAGAGGCUGUACAUUUUAUUUUUAAUAUUAUGGCUGUUUGUUUUUACGCUCUUGCAAGCGACUGUAUUUUACUAGACUUUUUGAAGUUGAUGUAAUUAAGGAGAGAUAAUGUUUAACUCAGUUAAUGAGUUUUGUUGACAUUUACAUUUCUAGCAUUUGAUUUUAGUUGGAAGUUGUUAAGCAGGUUUUGGAAUAUUAAGAUUUUGAGUUAUAUCAUGCCCAAAUUUUUGAAAAUUAUCCUUAAAAAAAUUGGGGUGUGACAAAUGACAUCCAUUACGAGAGCAUAUCUCAUCCCAGUGCGUGUUAGUGAGAGACCUAGCGCUAUAAGGUGAGUAUAAGCUUUUGUUCUUACUACGCUAUCUAACAAACACUACAAGAAUUCGGGGCAUUUACCGAGCAAAAUUUAUGGUGUGCACCAAUGCACACCGUAUUAUGUGCUCUUUUAUGGCGUGCUUUUAAUGCGUGUCGUAAAAAACCUCUGACAUGUAUUCUUUUACUGCGUGCUUUUAAUGCAUGCCAUAAAUGACCAAUCACAUUAAGUCUUUCGUUGCACGCAUGUAUAACGUGCCGUAAUCGUGAUAUGUUUUUACUGCACACAUAUCAAAUGUUUUCCUCUUCUAAGAAGUCCCGCACCUUUGCAAAGCCUCAAACGUCAACCCCCAAACCUCAAUAAUCUCGAUAGAGUUAGAAAGAAGCUCUAAUCCUCCAUCGAAUUCUACAAUGAGUUGCAAACCGGAAAGCCUGCAAAUCGGUUUCUAGGGAUUUCUGGCUGUGGUGGUGCAAGGUAGGUUUGUUUCUUCUUCUUCUUCUCUCUUAUCUUAAUCGAUUUUUGUAUUCUACUUUCUCUUUGAAGCGAUUAGAAUCGCUGAAACCCUUAAUCCUUUUAUUUCUCCGGUUAUGAAUGUCGUUGUUUCAACCCCAGCCGUCAGCCUUCCUCAUCAAUCGCAGCCCCAAACUAUCGUCGGCCACAAACUCUUGGGCUAUCAGACUUCGUGACAUUCGUUGUUGUGUACGGCUGAGAUUGUGAUUCUUAAUCAUAAAAUUCAGGUAUGGCUAAUAGUAAUCCCUAUUAUAGUGUGGGAUUGUAAAUUUCACAGUAAUGUCAAAAGUAAUUUUCUUUUAUAACCUAAGUAAGCUGUGAGUAGGUUGUUAAGUGUUUCAUUGUUAUGUCGAUUGCAAUAUGCUUAUAUGCAGAAGUGUAAAUGUAUUUUUUUGCUAGUAUCAAUUUUGGGAGUGUAAUGAUCUCAAUUUUAUUUAGGUUUAUUUAUCGAAUUGCUUUUGUGUGUUUUUUUUUUCUCUGACUAGGAUUUUGAUUUUGAUUAUAUUUUGGACUACCAAUUAUAUUUCCAAAUUAGAUUUUCUUUUCUACGUGUAUAGUUGUUCUUUAUUUAAUUUUGGGUGAAAAUAUUUAUUUGGGUCUAGAACUAUCCAGUCAUCAUCAGAAGCAGAACACGUUGCCCAUUCUUUUUCGUUCACGUGUCCCUAACUGAUUUCUCCAGAAUUUACUCGUCAGUCUCUCUUCCUCUUCUCCCUUCUCUUCUUGUUCUUCUUCCCCUUUUCUCUACUCUUCACUUCUGUCUCUACUCUGAUCAUCACUCUCUUCUCUAAAUCAACAACACCGAUUUCACUAGCUCACAAGGAAGAGGGGAGGAAUCGCCAUGAAAUUCGUUGCCAAAGAAUCUGAAAUUCUUUGUCUAUUCGCAGCUAACUCCUAUAAGUUUCAAUCUCUUGUAAGUUUCAGUCUUCUCUCUCUCAAACUAGUUAUCCAAUCUCAGUUGUUUCUGUCAAGACCCACCCUGAAUUUCACACUGAAACAUGAAGUAAAUUCUACGGGGACCACCUCUAAGGAAAGUUUACCGAAAAUUCGGCAUAACCUCUCUUGAAAAUGAACAACCCUUCCUAAUAAAACCUGCAUACACUUAUGAUAAACCAAAUCCAACCUUAAACUCCUGGAGCCUUCAUGCUCCCCCAAAUCACAACAUCUCCCAAUUAUUUACUAACUUUAAUAAGAAUAAUCCCACAACCAACAAUCACAGUUUAGAGCAAUUCUAAUUGAGAGGAAAUGAACUAGAAAUUUAGAAAUGAGCGGAAGCUAUACUAUUAACUAUGCCUCUUCUCCAUGUACGCCCGACCUCAACUAUGCUAACCUGCAAACUGGGCAUUUUUAAAACGAAGAGCCCAGGGGAAAACAUUUGAAACCGUUAAAGUGAGUGGACAAAGAUAAAUUAAUAAAUAAAAUAUUUAUGUUUCCCCAAAUCAAUUUCCAAGGAAAAAUCAAAUGUAUGCUGCAAGCGAUAAAACUUUAAUCUCGUAAAAUAUCGAGCCUCUCAGGCUCUAAAAUAUAUGUAUGUAUUUACACACGUCCAUACUCCCUAUAUAAAUUCAUGGGUCUAUAUAGGGCUACUACGCUCGCGUCCAAUGCUCACGUGACGUCUUAAUGCGGUGCUACACUACGCCAUUAAGGUGGACAGACGGGUGUAUAAAUAUGUGUCCAUACCCCCUAUAUGAAUUAAACACUCAUAUAGGGCUACUACGCUCACGUCCAACGCUCACGUCACACCAUAAUGCGGCUAUAUGCUACGCCAUUACGGUGGACAGACACAUAUGGCUAGCUAGCAUUUAUAUACAUACUCUCCUCAAUAUACAUAUUUAUACUCAACGAAAAAUCUCAUUUUUCGGUAACUCUCCAAAAGAAAUAAAAACGUCAAAAAUUAAAUGACGUCAAAACUCCAACAAUUUAAAUGUUCAACCAUGACCAUAGCAUGCAUAUUAUUUAAAACAAAAGUCCCCCCACAACUUUAGGCCUAAGUCUGACGUCGAUCCGAGGUCUCUUCUGCUUGAGCCUCCUCACGUCCUGUUUCCAAAUGUAAAAAUAAUUUCGCAACUAAAAAUCCAAAUAUUUAUACAAAAUAGGCAAAAUAAACAUGAGCUACUAUAUGAACUCCCUAUAUGAAAGCCUAAAUAAACCAAAUAAGAAAAUAGUUUUCAUAUAGGGCUACUACGCUUGUGUCUAACACUCACGUCACACCAUAAUGGUAUUUUACCUCAUUAUGGCGGAUCAAACACGUAUGGCUAGCUACCAUUUACAUAUACAUACUAUCAUCAUAAACAUCCAAUAAACAUAUCCACCGAAAAUCUCAUUUUCGGGAUCUCUCCAAAGGAGGAAAAUUGCCAAAUAUCCGAGAAAUAAAUAAAUUUCAGGAAAAGAAAUAAAUAAUCAACAGAUAAUUCAUCGCAUGCUUUUCAAUUAAAAUAAAGGUCCACUCACAAAUUAGGCCUAAGCCUGAUGACGCUCCGAGGUUUCCUCUGCUCGGGCCUCCUCUCGUCCUGUUCCAAAUAUAUAAUUAAUUUCCCACCAAAAAUCCAAUAAUUAAACAAAAUGGGCAAAAUUAAACGUGAGGCUCCUACACACUCAUCAUUGCCCAAAUUCGCCAUUCUUAACUCAAUACCGCUCAAACUUCGCAGAACAUACCGGCAGCCGUAAAAACAACUUCCCACAGAAUACGACUUAAAUCCUACGGCCGGAUUCUACAUUAAUUAACCGCCAAAAAUACCAAACUUCGGAAAUUCACAAACCUAUCCAAAACUCAUCCAAAAAUACCAUAACUCACUUCAAUAAACUCCCCUUAAUAUUCCAAAUCUAAAAAAACAUUAAAAUCUCCCAAACAACUCCGGUAGCGGCGGCCGGAGGCCGAUUCCGGCGACCUCCAAUUCUUAUGAAAUUUUAACAGCAUCUUCCUCUCAUCAUGCUCUACAACUUUCCUAACUAGCACAAACCCAAAAUCCAAGCCUAGCUAUGCCAAUCGAACAAAAACAUCAAAAACGCCCUAGAGCUUCCACCUCAAAUUUCUCCUUACCUGAAGCAAACCGGGGUGACUCCAUUUAGGGCAAGGCAGCUGGGUUAGAGACCUACAAAACCGUACCAAGCUUGCCCGGAUUGGUGGUCGGAGGAGGGAGAGGAGGUGAUGGGGGUCCGAACUGGGGUGGAGUGGUGGCUGGUGGCUAGUCGGACGGCGGCAGCUGGCAGCUGGAAAUUUCCGGCGAAGGGAGAGAGAGCACGGGAGGGAGAAGGAAGAGAAAAGAGAGAAGAAGAGAAAGAGAGGAAAUGGGUUGGGCCUCUCCAACCGGUCCAACUCCACUAAUAUACCUAACUCCCACAAAUAAAACACCCCGAAAAAUAAUACCCGAAAAAAAUUACCUUUUACUAGCUAAAAUUUACCCCUUUUACCGUCGCCAUAUUUUCGUCCUACGAGUAAUCCUCCGCACAUAAUCGUCCCCGUAACCCCUCUAGGGACCAAUUAAACUAUUAACUCAGUGACGGAGACGGUAAAAUUCUUAUUAAAAACAAGGUAGUAAAUAAGGUAAAAAUAUAAGAGUCGGGAUAUGAUAAUUCUCCCCUCCUUAUAAAAAUUUCGUCCUCGAAAUUUGCAUACCUGUCAUCCGAAGAGAUAGGGAUACUGCUGCAUCAUUUGCUGCUCUGAUUCCCAAGUAGCUUCUUCUACUUGAUGACUUCUCCAAAGCACCUUGACAAGUGAGAUUGUCUUAUUCCUAAGCACUUGCUCCUUUCGGUCGAGAAUCUGAACCGGUUCCUCUUCAUAUGUCAAAUCUCUCGUCAAACUGAUCGGCUGCUCUUGCAGCACAUGAGAAGGAUCGGCAAUAUACUUGCAAAGCAUGGAUACAUGAAACACAUUAUGUAUCCUAGCUAACUCUGGAGGCAAAAGUAGCCGAUAAGCAAGUGAGCCAACUCGCUCUAUGAUCACAUAAGGGCCAAUAUACCUCAGACUAAGCUUCCCACGCUUACCGAAACGCACAACCCCUUUCCAAGGAGAUAAUUUCAGGAACACCCAAUCACCCACUUGAAAUUCAAGAUCUCUCCUACGGACAUCUGCAUAACUCUUCUGCCUACUUUGAGCGGUCUUGAGUCUAUCUCUAACCACUUUAAUCUUCUCAUUCGUAACAUGGAUUAAUUCUGGGCCACAGAGCUCUUUUUCCCCCACUUCAUUUCAACACAAAGGCGUGCGACACAGCCUCCCAUAAAGACCCUCAAAGGGAGCCAUACCAAUGCUAGAAUGAAAGAUAUUAUUAUAGGCAAAUUCCAUCAAAGAUAGGUUUUUAUCCCAACUUCCUCUGAACUGCAAGACACAAGCCCUCAACAUAUCCUCCAACGUCAGAAUUGUCCUCUCGGACUGCCCAUCAGUCUGAGGAUGAAAAGCAGUGCUGAAGAGUAAUUGGGUACCUAAAGCUGCCUGAAGAGCUCCCCAGAAUUUAGAAGCAAAUCGAGGAUCCCGAUCUGACACUAUUGAUUCAGGAACACCAUGAAGCCUCACAAUUUCAUUCACAUAAAGCUCCGCCAAUUUAUCCAAUUUAUACUUCUUUCCCACUGGCAAGAAAUGUGCAGACUUGGUGAGUCGAUCCACAAUCACCCAAAUACCGUCAUGCCCUUUACGGGUACGAGGUAAACUGAAAACGAAAUCCAUGGUGAUGUGGUCCCACUUCCACACUGGAAUAGGCAACGGCUCAAGCAAUCCAGAAGGCUUCUGCCUUUCAGCUUUUACUUGCUGACAAACCAGACAUCUACUCACAUAAGCUGCAAUUUCCCUCUUCAUGUUUGGCCACCAAUAAUAAUUCUUCAAAAUCCGAUACAUUUUUGUGCUACCCGGAUGAGCAGCAUAUGCAGAGCUAUGAGCUUCCUCCAUAAUCUCAUUCUUCAACUCUUCAUUUCUUUUUGGAACUACAUUAGCCGAUUCUUAAACAUAGAGUCCCAUCUCUUCUAACUGAAAAAUGAUCGGCAGCGGCUCCAUUCGAAGCUCUUUCCAUUCAAUCAAACUAUGGAAGGAUCAUUAUACUGUGCUUCCCGCACUCUAUCAACCAAAACUGGCCUCACAUGAAAACUGGCUAUCAAAGCACCAACCUCAUCUACUGAUAAAUCCACUCCUGUAGCUUGCAACUCACAAAGAAGCGGAACACGAACCAUCUUUAUAUGAGAUAAAGAUAUAGAGGGAUUUCGACUAAGAGCAUCCGCUACCACAUUAGCUUUUCCAGGGUGAUACUCAAUAGUGCAAUCAUAAUCAUUGAUUAACUCCAUCCACCUUCUCUGUCCCAUAUUUAGCUCUCUUUGAGUGAAUACAUACCGAAGACUCUUGUGAUCGGUAAAUAUCUGACACUUGCCUCCAUAAAGAUAGUGUUUCCACAACUUGAGAGCAAAAACUACCGCUGCAAGCUCCAGAUCAUGAGUAGGAUAAUUCCCCUCAUGCGGCUUUAAUUGCCUAGAAGCGUAGGCAAUAACUCGUCCAUGCUGCAUCAAUACUCCACCUAGACCAUGUCUAGAAGCAUCACAAUAGAUCACAUACUCUCCACUAUCAUCCGGAAGUGCCAAAACAGGAGCACUUGUUAAGCAAUUCUUCAAUUCUUGGAAACUUUGCUCACAUUGAUCUGACCAUUCAAACUUAACCCUCUUCCUGGUCAAUCUUGUGAGAGGAGCAACAAUCUUUGAAAAAUCUUUCACAAAGCGCCGAUAAUAACCUACUAAUCCCAAGAAACUACGAAUCUCCAUCACAGUGGUGGGUCUUCUCCAAUUCGACACUGCUUUCACCUUUUGGGGAUCCCCACUAACUCCUUCUACCGAAAUCACAUGACCCAAAAACCCCUCUUUAUCUAGCCAAAACUCACACUUGCUAAACUUAGCAAAUAACUGCGACUUUUCCAAAGUCCGUAAUAUUAUUCUUAGAUGCUUGGCAUGCUCCUUCUCACUUCUUGAGUAAACCAAUAUGUCAUCUAUGAAUACGAUCACGAAACGAUCAAGAUAUGGACUAAACACCCUAUUCAUGAGAUCCAUGAACGCCACGGGUGCAUUAGUAAGUCCAAAUAGCAUCACCAUAAACUCAUAAUGACCAUAUCGUGACCGAAAAGCAGUCUUGGCUAUGUCCCCCUCUCGGAUCCGCAACUGAUGAUAACCCGAUCUCAAAUCAAUNNNNNNNNNNNNNNNNNNNNUUAGAGAAAACAGAGGCACCCGUCAACUGAUCAAAUAAAUCAUCGAUCCGAGGCAACGGAUAUUUAUUCUUCACUGUGACCUGAUUCAACUUCCUAUAAUCAAUGCAUAGUCUCAUGGUGCCGUCUUUCUUCUUAACAAACAACACCGGAGCACCCCAUGGAGACAUGCUAGGCCGAAUAAAACCCUUAUGUACCAACUUCUGCAAUUGAGUCUUCAACUCUUUCAAUUCCGCUGGAGCCAUUUUGUAAGGUGCCUGAGAGAUAGAUAUAGUUCCAGGAAGUAAUUCUAUAGAGAAGUCUAUCUCCCUUGCAGGAGGCAAACCAGGCAACUCCUCAGGAAAAACAUCCGGAAACUCCCUUACUACCGGAAUAUCUUCUAAUCCCACAACUCCCAUAAUUGUAUCCACGACAUGAGCUAAAUAUGCCUGACAGCCUUUACUCAACAAUUUCCUUGUAGCAACAGCGGAAAUUAUGCAACUAGAAAUAACAUCUCUUUCCCCUUGGAAAGCAACCUCAAAACCAUCUGGACUUCGAAGCACCACUACUUUUUGAAAACAAUCUACCAUAGCUCUAUAUGCUUCCAAAAAGUCCAUUCCCAAGAUCACAUCAAACUCCACUAUAUCUAAAGGAAUUAAAUCAGCCUCAAAAUUAACUCCUUCCACUAAAACUUCACAACCACUAAAUACCCAAUUUAUUCUCAUCACCUCACCGGAGGGUAGAGACACAUGCCACUCGCCUGGAAGAGACGAUGAUAGCACAUUGGCAUGGAGAGCGAAUCUACUAGACAUGAAUGAAUGCGUGGCUCCUGGAUCAAUUAAAGUAAAAGCAGGCUGACCGAAAAUUAAUAACGUACCAAUGAUGACAUCUGGAGAAGUACGACCCUCCUGCUGGGUCAUAGUAUGUAGUCUAGCGCGAGUCAUGGGACGUCUAUGCUGACCACCACCCCGCUGAGAGCCACCUCUGACCGAUGCACUGCCCUGGGCACCACUACUGGAGCCUCCAGCUGAAGACUGACCAACUGGCUGAGUAGGGGUGGGGGUGGUCCUCUGAGCCAACAAUGGGCAAUCUCUCCUGAAGUUGUCUUGACCACCACACUCAAAGCACCCAGAAAACUGCUGCUACCCAUAAGAAAAAGUCUAGCUACCGGAUGACCCACCAUGGAAAUUACCACCAGAACCAUACUGCCCAGACUGCUGCCUACCCAAAUGACUCCGAGAAGGUCUCCUGAAACAUCCUCUAGUCCUGUUUCGAGCACCAGAGCUCGAUCCCCCACUACUGCCACUACCAGCAGAAGACCCAGAAGCGGAUGAUGUAGCAGCCUUCUUAGAUGGACCUUGACUAGGGCCACCGUAAUCACGAGGCCGAACACCAUAUGUCCCCCUAAACUCAAUGGCCAUGGCUGCACCAACUGCAUCCUCAAAAGUCGGGUAAAUUACCCAUGUCAUCUUGUCCGCAUACACUCCACCAAGUACCCCAAUGAACAUCUCAAUCCUGGUCCUCUCAUCAGAAACCAGAUAUGACACAUGGUAGCUCAGGGAAGUGAAUCUUUCCUGAAACUCUAAGAUACCCUCAUCGUCCCUCUUUGACAUAUGCAGGAAAUCCGACUGAAUUCUGCUGCGGUGGGCAUGAUUGAAAUACUGCCCCAAGAAGAGAGUCUUAAACUACUCCCACGACAUAUUCAGCGCAUCCUCAACAUUCCUGUUGGCAAGUGACCACCAGUGAUGUGCUGAAUCAUCCAGAAAAGUCACUGCUAUCUUCACCUUUCUUUCUUCUGGCAGCUCAGUGCUCGCAAAAGCCUUUUCCAUCUUAUCCACCUAAUUGUGAGCAUCAAGAGGUCCCUUGGCACCCUUGAACUCUCUGGCUCCAGCAUAAAAAACUUCUCUCCUUUUCACAGUAGGAGGGCGUGGAGCUCGAUCCAUGACAUCCCUUAGCAUAUUUCCAAUAUCAUCAACCAGUCCCCUGACCUCAUUGCCCUCAUCGGCAUUGGUUGAAGUGGCCACACGGGGUUGCCGUGGGCGCCUAGGAGGCAUAGUACCUGAGAAAGAAGAAAUUUAGUAGUCCAUAAACAAGACUAACACAACAAUCACACAUACCCAAUAACACAUAGCAUCAAAAGCAUAAAAUGCCAAUGAAUCCGCCGCGGUCUGAUCAUCACUCUAUAGACACUACGUGCUACUUAGGCAAAUAUGAUAGUGACAAGGAAGCAGGAAAAGGAAACCUAAAGCUCUGAUACCAACUGACACGACCCACCCCAAAUUUCACCCUGAAACCCGAAGUCGUGCGGGGACCACCUCCAAGAAAAAUUUACUGAAAAGAUUGAUAAAAUCUCCCUUGAAAAUGGACAACCCUAACUCGAAAAUUCCAAAUUACACUCUUAAUACAACACGUCCAAACAUCACAUAAUUAACCUUCAGAAAUUCUAAACAUAAUAUACAAUAAUCUCAAAGUAUUCAGAGCUACUAGACACUAGCGGAAGCAAGAAAACACGAGUAGGUUAAACAUGUAAUCUACUGAUGAAAACUGGCGGAAAUCCGGGUGACUAUGCCUCGCCUCCUACUAGAUCCAACUCGAACUCUGCAGACUGGGCAAUUUAAAACGAAGAGCCCAAGGGAAAACAUGUGGAACAGUUAGAGUGAGUGGACAAAAACUAAAUUAAAUAAAAAUAUUUCUUUAUGCUUUCCCAAUUUAAUUUCCAAAUAAAAUAAUACUGCAUGCAAUCGCUCAAAAGCGCUCAACUCAAAAACUGACAACUUCACGACUAGCACCGGCUAGUCUCCAAAACUUAAUAAAAUACAGCCUCUCAGGCUAAAUUAUAUAUAAACAUAUAUAAGUGUAUGUAUUUACACUCGUCAGACUCCUUGUAUGAAUUCUAAGAACAAAUUAGAAAAAUAGAAAUUCAUACAAGGCUACUACGCUUGCGUCUAACGCUCACGUCACACCAUAAUGGAAUUGUACCUCAGUAUGGCGGAAAAAGCACGAGUGUAUAUACGUGUGGACUCCCUAUAUGAAAACCUAAAUAAACCAAAUAAGAAAAUAGUUUUCAUAUAGGGCUACUACGCUUGUGUCUAACACUCACGUCACACCAUAAUGGUAUUUUACCUCAUUAUGGCAGAUCAAACACGUAUGGCUAGCUAGCAUUUACAUAUACAUACUAUCAUCAUAAACAUCCAAUAAACAUAUCCACCGAAAAUCUCAUUUUCGGGAUCUUUCCAAAGGAGGAAAAUUGCCAAAUAUCCGAGAAAUAAAUAAAUCUCAUGAAAAGAAAUAAAUAAUCAACAUAUAAUUCAUCGCAUGCUUUUCAAUUAAAAUAGAGGUCCACUCACAAAUUAGGCCUAAGCCUGAUGACGCUCCGACGCUUCCUCUGCUCGGGCCUCCUCUCGUCCUGUUCCAAAUAUAUAAUUAAUUUCCCACCAAAAAUCCAAUAAUUAAACAAAAUGGGCAAAAUUAAACGUGAGCCUCCAACACACUCAUCAUUGCCCAAACCAAAUUCGUCAUUCUUAACUCAAUACAGCUCAAACUUCGGCGAACAUACCGGCAGCUGUAAAAACAACUUCCCACAGAAUACGACUUAAAUCCUACGGCCGGAUUCUACAUUAAUUAACCGCCAAAAAUACCAAACUUCGAAAAUUCAUAAACCUAUCCAAAACUCAUCCAAAAAUUCCAUAACUCACUUCAAUAAACUCCCCUUAAUAUUCCUAAUCUAAAAACAUUAAAAUCUCCCAAACAGCUCCGGUAGCGGCGGCCGGAGGCCGAUUCCGGCGACCUCCAAUUCCUAUGAAAUUUUAACAGCAUCUUCCUCUCAUCAUGCUCUACAACUUUCCUAACUAGCACAAACCCAAAAUCCAAGCCUAGCUAUGUCAAUCGAACAAAAACAUCAAAAACGCCCUAGAGCUUCCACCUCAAAUUGCUCCUUACCUGAAGCAAACCGGAGUGAGUCCUUUUAGGGCAAGGCAGCUGGGUUAGAGACCUACAAAACCGUACCAAGCUUGCCCGGAUUGGUGGCCGGAGGAGGGAUUUCCGACGAAAAGCUUCCCGGCGUUUCCGGUGCGUUUUCUCUUCUUCCGGCGGGCUAACGGCUCGGGGGCUAGGCCGGGGAGGGAGAGGAGGUGAUGGGGGUCCGAACUGGGGUGGAGUGGUGGCUGGUGGCUGGCCGAACGGCGGCAGCUGGCAGCUGGAAGUUUCCGGCGAAGGGAGAGAGAGCACGGGAGGGAGAAGGAAGAGAAAAGAGAGAAGAAGAGAAAGAGAGGAAAUGGGUUGGGCCUCUCCAACCGGUCCAACUCCACUAAUAUACCUAACUCCCACAAAUAAAACACCCCGAAAAAAAAUUACCUUUUACUAACUAAAAUUUACCAUUUUUACCGUCGCCAUAUUUUCCUCCUACGAAUAAUCCUCCGCCCAUAAUCGUCCCCGAAACCCCUCUAAGGACCAAUUAAACUAUUAACUCAAUGACGGAGAUGGUAAAAUUCUUAUUAUAAACAAGCUAGUAAAUAAGGUAAAAAUAUAAGAGUCGGGAUGUGACAGGAGCAGUCGGCGUUUCCGGUGGUUUUCUUCUCUCCGGCGGCGCUACCAGCUCGGACACUAGGCCGGGAAGAGAGAAGAGGUGGCAGGGCUCCAAACUGGGCUGGAGCGGCGGCCGGUUGCUGGCCGGAUGGCGGCAGGCGAUGGUCGGAAGUCGGACGGAGAGAUAAGCUCUGGGGGAGAGGGAGAGAGAAGAGAAAGAGGAGGAAAAAGAAGGAAGAAAAAAAAUGGGCCACUCCUCUAACCCAGUCCAACACCUUAAACAAAACCCCAACUCCCAAAAAUUAACACCUCAGAAUAAUACCCAAAUAAAAAUUACCUUUUACCAGCUAAAAUUUACUAUUUUUACCGUCGUCAAAUUUUUCUCUUACGAAUAGUUCCUCCGAAAUAAUCGUCCAUCAAAACCCCUCUAGGGACUAUUUAAACUAUAAACUCAUUGACAAAGACGGUAAAACUCUUAUUAUUACCAAGCUAGUAAAUAAGUUAAGAAUUUAAGGGUCGGGAUGUGACAGUUUUCCUAAUAAAAUUGGACUCUGAAUUGUAUCAUGAAUCUCAAAUUAGGGAACUUGAAUUGCUUGGGUGCAAGCUGGGACUUUGCUUUCGGAAUCAAACUGCUAUUGUUUGAUUUGGGUGCUUAUGUGUUUGGAGUUGCUUGCUUAUGCCGGUUGCUAUGACAUGAGGUAGGGAAAACAAACUUUUCUUUAUAGCUUUGAUUCUAGUUUCAUGUGUAUUUGGUGUGAUUGUGUUGGAAUGUCUUCUCUGCUAUUUUUCCUUGAUUGAAACUGUCAAGCAUACAUAGCUUGUCGAAUAGAAAUCUUGUUGAGUGUCAUUGUUACUCUGAUUCAAGGUAAUAUGUACCCUUGUCUUAUAUUUAAUAUUGAAAUGAUAGCCUUGAGUAUUUUGGCUGGUAUUCUUUGAAGAAGUUCACAUUGGACAAGGUCCUUCUCGUUCCCAACUCUCUUCUUAUUAUGUUAGUUGCAGCCGUGGCUUGUAUCUUGUUAUACCAUCUAAAGUGGUUUUAUCUGUGUCUACUUUGUCUUAUGUUACUGCUUUCUUGGCUUCUCCUUUGAGUCUAUUACUUAGUUUAGUCCUGCUCUCUGUUAAUGCUCAUGAACUCACUGUACAAAGCUGCUCAAGUUAGUGUCUUUACCCAUUGAUAUUUAUAUUCUUGAGGCCGAUACAAAUCUGAUUCUUGCCCUGUUCUUUAUAAUUUAAAAGGAAGUUUUUAUACAUGGUUUUACUUGAACCAAAAAUUC
rnacentral:lncRNA from 1 species